UAAAAAGGUACCGUUCGGUUCGGGUAUAAGAAAGAACUGUCUAUUUCAGAGAUAGGUAUAAGUUCAGGUAUAAGCAAGAAUUAGACCAAUUUUGUGUAUGGAUGAAAAUUGGGUUGUUUUCGGAAUAAGAAAAAUAACGUUGAAUAGAUGAGAUGGAAUAAGAAAAAUAAUGAGUAGUUACAAAUAAAAAAUAAUGAUAUUAUCUUGCUCAUUAUAUUUAAAUUAAAAUUUAAAAUUAUAUAUAUAUACUUUUAAAUUUAAAAUUUUAACUUUUUAAAUUUUAAAAUUCGAAAUUAAAAUUUAAAAUUUUAACUUUAAAUUUCAAAAUUCGAAAUUAAAAUUUAAAAUUUAAAAUCCAAAAAUUCUAAAUUUUAAUUUUUAAAUUUUAAAUUUCAAACUUUAAAUAUAAGAUCAAUUUUAAAUUUGAAAAAUAUUCAAAUUUGAAAAUUUAAAAUAUCAAAUUUAAAAUUUAAAAUAUAGAAUUUAAUAUUAUAAACUUUAAUUCUGAGUUUAUACAAUUUUAAAUUUUAAAAUUAAAAAUAGGGGUGAGAACAACUGUUCCCACUCUAGCGAGUUAUCCAAAGAUAAUAAUUUAAUAUCAAUUAAAUUAAUUAAUAAUUUAAAUAUAUUAAUUAAUUAAUUAUUAAUUAGAUUAAUUAAUGAUUUAAUAGUAUAAUUAAAAUUAAUUUUUAGAGUUUAAUUAAUCUUGUUCUUGGUUGUUCUAGAGAUAAAGGUGAAAUAGCAAUUUCAAACUUAUAUCGGAUUCUACCAACACUACUGUCUCGGAUAUAAAAAAAAUAGCGUUUGAAUAUAAAAUGAGAUAAGGGGUUAUCCCUUUUCUAUUCCCGAACCAAACUUUUUAGGUGUCUAGUUUCUAUUACUUGUACGAAGCUUUUUCUAAAAAAGUUUCACAAUGAAGUAUUUGUGCACUUAGCCGAUAUCUUAUUUUUGAUAACUUUUUGAGGGAAAACACGCCCUAAGGCGAAUUUAUUUAUCAAUCGGGAGGUACAACUUGAGAGAAUUCAUCUAUAGAGGACCAAAAAGAUAGUUUGUUGCUAGUGAACUCCCAGUUGGCCAAUCGGUCUACAACUACAGCAUUUUUAGAAUAUCCUGAAGGCCAUCCGUAACUAAAUUGCUUGGAACUUUCUAGAAAAGUCCGAAGAUCCGUGAUUCUUGUUCGAGCUUCAUCUGUCAGCGAAUCUGAAUGAUAGCUCCUAAGGUACAAGGCUUUGAUGAUAGAUGCUGAAUCUGAGUAAAUAUGAAAAGUUUCUCCCGAGUACCUUUGCAACAAAAGAUUUGUCACUCGAAAAAUUACUCCAAUUUCCGCAGAGCAAGCGUCAUGGACAUCCUUCAGUACAUCGGAUAUGCACAUAAUGAUUCCAUGCUGAUUAGCGACCAGGCAUUUUACACCACCUGUAGUGCCACCUUUUCAACUCCCAUCCACACAUGCAUGUAAGAAAAAGGUCGCAGGUUUUUGAAUCAAAGUUGGGUUCUGAAUGCUAAUCAUCAUCAUGUUCUCUUUAGAAUAUAAGGUCGUUCAGCUACGAGCCCGUGAAAUGAUGGUAGUAAUAUUGAAAAUUUUUCCUUCAAAAAUCAUCUUAUUCCUUCCUUUCCAUAAGCUCCAUAACAAAUGAACAUAGAAAGCCCUAUGAGUCAUCAUGGCUUUAUUAGUUAGGAUAAAAAAAAUUCAAAAGGACAGAGGCCUAUCCGCAUUAUCAAUUAUAAGGUCUAUACUGAAUGCGAACCAAACACGUGGUGUCUGCUCACAAUUAAGAAAUAAAUGUACCAACAUCUCAGGCUCUUGUAGGCAAAGCGGGCAAAGUCCAUUAAAGUUAGGUAGUCUCGAGGCUAGUACGGCUCCAACCAAUAACGUGUUUGCUAUUAGUUUCCAGAAAAAUACUAGCGCUGAAUGAUUUAACGCUCGGAUACACAUCUCGAUCGGGUUCAUAUUUUGCCUGGUGCAUGAAAAAUUAAUGGUUAUGUGUUCGUGCCGUGUGCGUAAGUCCAGUAGCUCCGUACGUGACAUCGAUCGAGGAUCACGUGAAAGCUAAUGGAUAAGAAAUUAUCAAAUGAUAAACAUAGAUCUGAGCGUUUCCUGUGAGAUGAGGCAUAAUUAGCUCGUGAGAUCUAAUGAAUAUGUUAAAUAUAAAAAUAUUUAAAUAUUGUUCUUUAAUAGCUUAAGCUUUUAGAGUACAACGGUUGUUUCACAUGGUAUCAGAACAGGAGGUCGUGAGUUUGAGUCACGCCAGGCUCCUAGCAUAUUAAUUUUCUCUCAUUUUAUUAAAUAUAAAAAUAAAAAUGUUUACGUGAUUGUGAACCACGGGUAUAGAAACAAAUAUUUGUCUCCCUCGUUGGUAAAAAAAAAUCUUCAAUUGAUGUAUAAGAACAUUUUUUACAUUGUUUUAUUACACAAUUAUAAUACUACUCGUGACUAGAUCAGAUUCUUUGCUAUCUUAUAUAUAUAUAGCUCGACAAAUUAUUUUUCUUCGAUAUUAAUUUUAUUGUGUCGGCAAUACUCAUAAUGUAAAAAAUUUUGCUUAGUUGAUGUAAACAGUUUUAUGCAAAUUUGAUAGCAAUAAAAUCACUAGUCAAUAAAGAUAACAUUUUCGAGCGACUCAAAUAUUUUUUCUAAUGUUAUUAAUUAGUUUUUCGUGUAUAUUCAAUGAGAAAAUUUUCGCCAAAUAUAUUGAAGAAUGCUUUGUAUGACGUGAGAUUUUUGUCAUUUAUCUUCUACUAUAUAUAUAUAUUAAAAAUAUCAUUCUUAAAUAACUUAAGUUAUUAAAAAAAAAAGCAACUGUUUCACUUUUUUUUAACCUAAAAUAAGACAUCAUUAUUAGUAUUUUCUGAUAUCCGAGAUCUCAAAUUCGAAUCCUAAUUGAUUCACAUUUUCAACUAAAUUUAUAUCUAAAUGAAAUAAAUAAAGUGGACAGCAUGCUACCUACCUCUCAAAAAAAUAUAUUUUUUCUAAUUUAAUUCAAGUAUAAGCAUUUGGCCAAUUAAAAUAUCUCAGCUUUAGAUGCACGUGCUUAAACUUAUAUUAUAGAGAUAAAUAGGGCGUACGCAUUUUCUAUUCAUUUCGCAUUUAUUACGCCCCGCAUUCCGAUCUAAUUGUUUGCAACGUAGUCGACAUUAGCGCUAUAUCCGUCAAAAAUCUCCUGGAUAACAUAUAUUAAUAACAAAUUAGGUGUGUAAGCAUAUAAAGUAAUAUCAAGAAUAGUACGUUAUCACUGCUCGGAUCCUGUUUAAGGCUUAGUUUGGUAUUGAGGUCUAUCUAACGCUAUUAGAUAAAAUAGAGUUGAGAAAAAAGUAUAUAGGGAUAUGCUUCUGUGUUCUCCGAUGGGACCGUAGAAAAUAUAUUGUAAUCGACUCAUCGCAAUAUGCGGAGCACAAUAUUACGUACAGAAACAAACAGGGUAUUUUUCCAUCGUCAUAGUUUCUCACGUAACGCAAUCUCCCUGUAAUCCCAAACGAAGCCUAAAUAAAAAUAUAUAUAUAAUAUAUGCGCUUGUUGCGACAAUUUCAAAAUAAAAAUGUUAUGGUUGUUGAAUUACAAAUAAAUUUUUGGAAUAUUUUACAGAUUAAAUAUAUAGCAUACAUAACAGUAUUUAUUUAAAUAAAUUAUAACAAUAAGUAUAACUUAUAACUGUAAAAUUAAAAUUCAAUUAUUAAAUUAUUUAGUUCGUAAAUUGGUGCGUUGAAUGGACAAAUUUAAGUAUUAAUACUAUGUCCUUCCGAAUCUGUAAUGGCAUAUUUUCCAGCAAAGUACUUUGUGCAUAAUAAAUGGUUCCCUCAACUACGAAAAAUUUUAGAAUGCAACGGAUAUAUAUUGGUAACGUGGCAUAACAAACCAAUCAAAAAUCUCCUUUUAAAGAUAUACAUCCCAUCAUGAUUUUAAAAAAAUAUUUUUAUUAUACUUUUGUUUGAAAAGAAGAACCAGAUUUAUUUCAUUCUUGUCCCAUUUUUACGAAAUUACCAUUUACUGCUAGAUAGAUUCCGAAUACAAUAAAUCACUUAGUGUAAAUGAAAAUGACAAAGACAAUGCUGAGAUCACAUUAGCAGUCCCAAUGCAAGAAAUAUUUACACAUUAUGUAAUUAAAAGUAACAUAAAAUCUUAAGUAGGGAGUAUGUUUGUAUGCAUUGAUUGCUGAAGGGCCUGGUAUAAUUGCCAAAUACUGAUACACUGGUACAGAUUCAAGUGUUUGUGAUCAUAAUAUAACUUUUGUAACCAUCAAACCAAGUUCAGAUUCAAGCAGCCUUCUUGCUUCGGUACCUCACGGCGCAUCCGAGAUAAACCAACAGGUUCAAGAAGCUGAGCCCGGCCAAAAGCCAGAAAAAGUAGUCUAAGUGGCCUUGGUUUAGGUUAUCCGGGAUCCAUCCGAUAUUCCCUCCUCGAGUCGUGAAAUACAUCACCACCGUCAGAAUAAACGAGCUUAAGUAAUUCCCUAAAGCGGUGGUCAGGAGAGAGAAGGCACUACAGAGGCUCCUCAUGGCAUCGGGGGAUUGAUCGUAGAAGUACUCGAGCUGCCCUAUAAAUGUGAACACUUCGGCUGCUCCCACCAGGAAAUACUGAGGUAUCUGCCACAAAAUGCUUAAUGGGACAGCCACAUUUUUAUCCUCUAAAUGCAACUCUUUUGCGAUGGAUAAGCGCUUAAUCUCCAAAACUGCUGCUGAUGCCAUUGCUAGUAUAGAUAUGAAAAGCCCGAUGCCCAUCCUUUGUAGCUCCGAAAAGCCCCUCUCCUUGCCGGUGAAUUUCCUAGCUAUAGGUACAAGAAUUCGAUCGUAUAACGGGACCCAAAUAAUGACACUGAUCACGUCAAAGGUAGAGAGAGAAGCAGGUGGGAUGGUGAAUGAGAAGAUGGUGGUGUCGAGGACCAUUCCUUGUUCCACGAACAUGGUGGAAAUCUGGGCAUAAACUGCAGAGAAUAAUAUGGUUGUUGCCCAUAUGGGAAACAUCCUUACAACUAUUUUAAGUUCUUCCACCUGGGUUACCGUGCAGAGUCUCCACGGGUCGGAGAAGGUAUCAUUUUUAAUGUCAAGAUCAGUGACUGUCGCGGCCUUGUCGAGGAAUCUGCAGAAGAUGCAAUUCAUGAUGUAAAUAAAAGUUCAAUAAAGCUUAGACAUGAAACAGAGCUAUCUUGAUUCAGCAAAAAAAGCACAAAGAAUAUAUUUAAAUUGAAACUAUCCCUGUAACUUAGCUCAAGAAUUGGCAUAAGUUAUUCUAGCUUAACUUUUUGCUAACAGCAGAUUCUAUUACACGAACUACAUAUCUUACAUUUUAAGUUAUGUUUAAUUGGAACCUUCAAGUAUAGGGAAGAGCAUGAUUAACAAUAGAAACAUCUAGAAAAGGCUUACUUAUACUUGCAUUCGGUCAAAACAAGAAGAAUAGUAUAUACAACUUAAAAGAACAUCUUUCAACAUUCGUAGUUUAGAAUAACAAAGCAAUAACAACUUAUACUUCUCAAAGCGGUUAAAUAAUCACUAGUGUUAUACUAACUAGGAAACAUAGAUUACUUUUAAAAUACUAAAAAAAGAAAAGAGAGAUAGAUUAAGUUUUUAAUGCUCAACAAAUUAGGCGAGGUUUAUCAGAGGUGAUAAUAAGCAUACUGAAGCUCAUCACUAUGCUCCAGCUUUCGACUCCCUUCAAUCGCUGAAGCAUUGUUAGGCAGCUCGUAUAACUGAGAACUGUCCUCAGGUGUAUUUAUCCUCCAUUUUUUCAAUGAGGCCACAAUUACUUGACACAUUCUCACAAAAGGGCUCCCUCCUGGUUUUUGAAACCUAUAGAGUGGGGUGCCGCAGAAAAAGCUUAUGAUGGCUAAACCCAUAAAGAGUGUGGGAAUGCCAAAUCCUAAACCCCAACCCAGGUUGUCCUGCACCCAAACUAGGAAGCUACUCGAUAUAAGAGCACCAAUGUUGAUGGAGAAGUAAAACCAAUUAAAGAAGGACCCCUUCUGAACUCUUUCAGAUGAAUCAGUAUCAUCAAAUUGGUCGGCACCAAAGGAUGAGACACAAGGUUUAAUUCCACCAGUUCCUAGUGCAAUAAGAUAGAGACCGAGAAAGAAAAUAGCAUAUUGGGGUGGGCUUGCUUCCGGACAGAUAGAUCCAUCACAAGGCGGAGGCCUCAAAGCAGGAACAGAUGCCGAAAUAGUCAGAGUGCCCAUACCCUACAAUUUAGUGCAUAUUUGUCAAUUAACAAGAAUAUAAUGAGAUCACAGUACGUAAAGAGUGAUUUGAUGUUGAGUAGCAUAUCAAAAUAAAACAAAAGGAUCUUUUACAUAUAUAACCUUACAACAUCAUCUAUUUACCAAUAUAAUACUGUAAAAUCUUAAUUUCCACCUAUAAUUCUCGAUAGGACAAUUAAUUACAAAACCACGUUAAAUAUCGGGAAUCAUACAAUUGAUGAUGAAAGUUGGAUUUUCCUUAGAAAAGUUUUAGCAAGUGUUUUUGGUAAAUAAAAGAGUGUAAUUUGAAGCAGUUAUUUUUUGAAAGGCAUAUGUGACAAUUCAGAUUUCACAGAGAGCAAUGUAGAAAUCUCAAGAAUGAAUUGGCAAUACUCAAUAGAGUGGGCUAACUAUCAAAAUUUCAAGACGGAAAAAAAUCUUGAACAUAAAACAUAAUAACAUAUUGAGCACCGAGCCACUUACGAUGAAGUAUAUGGACGAGAAAAUAGCAAUUGUCCAAUAUCGUCCCCAGUAAGCAUCAGCCAAUAAGGCCCCAAUUAGUGGGGCGAGGUAGCAGGUUCCCUGCCAUGUUGUUACAUUUCUCGCAGCUAAUGCAUUUCCCUCAUGUAGAUUUUUCGUGAGGUAACUAACAAGGUUUGUCGCUAUACCAUAAUAAGCCAAUCUUUCACAGCACUCAUUCCCUGCAAGGUUUUCAUAAAAUUUAGUGCUAAUGUUGUAUAGAACCAACAUUUCUUAUAGAGCUAAUAUUUUUUUUCAUAGUGGAGCUACAGUCCAUCUCAAGUUGAUUAGUACCUAGAAUGAAGGGGCAGGCUCUCCAGUUGCCUGUCCGGUCCUUUAAGACAGGAUUUCCAUGAAUAUCAACUGAUCCAUCUCCAGUGUAUGGUCCUUUAUGUCCAUCCUGUAGAACAACAAUCAGAGAAUAUGUACUCAAAUAGUAAAAAGGCUCUCAUGAAAAGAUAGAAGUUCGGCUAAUUAAGUUGUCUGUUGAGGAAAUAAACGAGGCGAAAGGAGGCAUUAAUCAAUGACAUAAAAUGGUGAAGCAAUUGCAAUAUACUAUACAAUUUUUGCAAGUUAACCUCUAUGAGUCUAUAAUAAAAAAUAACAAUCAGGAUUAUAUAAUUAGCAGCUACGCUGAAUUUCCCUAAAAACAGACACAUUAUUUUCUUGGUUAUCCAACUGAAUCUAAAACUUCCCCUGCCUGCAAAGAAGCAAUGUAGAUGCACCUCACAGCUGCUUCCGUUGUUCCAGCUUAUGAAGAACGAUUUCAAGUAAGAAUAAGCAUUACUGCAGCCACUUUAAUGGUAAAGAAUGAUAUCCCAAGUUUCACAUUGGUAUUUCUCGAUUUUUUUUUAAAAAAUUGUUGUUAGUAAUUCAUGUUCUUAUAUAUAUGAUCAGAUCUGUAAAAUAUAAUGGAAAAUUUUAAUAUGAUCCUCAUCCUUUUCAUAGACCCAGUCCUUCUAAAUUUGCCUCUUUUACAGCAUUCGUUUGCUUAACUAACUAAUAUAAGAAUAAUAUAACAAAAGAGACACACAAUCCUCUUCGAUGAGGUAAUCCCCACUAUGCUUUAACUAGCCCCACAAAAUCCUCGCAUAAAUUUCUAAACAAAAGGAAAACGGUUAACAAAUCCACAAUAUUCUUUUCUAUGUAACAAUUUUCUAGCUAUAUAUUGUUAAACAUUAGAGUAGAUCAUCAAACAAGCAUCCCCAACUGACACUUCGAUCUAUAACCAAAACUAAUAGCAGCUCUACACAGGUUACAGUAAAAGAAAGAUCAAAAUGUAAUUUUGAUUUAAGCAGAUUCAACUUUUGAUUUUAUCAAUUAUAUUAGACGUUUUUCUUAAAUCUAACAAUGAUUGAGUUUCUUCUCUUUCCAACGAACAUAGCUACGGAGCCAUCAAUUCAACGAAUUCUCAGUAUUUCACAUUAGGAAAAACAAUUUAAAUCAAAAGAACCACAAAUUAAGUGCAAGAGUCAACCAACAAAACUACUACAAAAGCAUCAACAACCCGAUCCGAUUCUCCAUUCGAGAUCUACAAAAGAGAAAUGUGUGUGUGCGAACCUCGGCUAAGAGCCCAUCCUCCAACAGCGCUCUCCGCUCUUCUCCGUCCUCCUCGCGAGUAGCCAUGGAUGGAUCGAGCGAGCACGAGGGAGAGAGGGGGAUCGGAGCACUCCGAUUCUAGGGCUUCGAAGGGGACGAGGACGAGGGGGUUGAGGAGAGAGAAAGUGAAGAGCGAGAAAGAUUCGGGUGGAAUUGCGUGUGAGCACGCAAUACACGGCGUGAUCGGUCAUGUUGUGUGCACUGUUUUGUCCCCCAUAAAUUAGUCGCUGCACCCGGUGUAUCCGUACGUUCCACGCAUUGGCUAAUAUUUUUUUGGUCCUCAAACUAUGAAAAGCUCAUAAUUGGUGCUUGGAUUAUAAUUUGUCACAAUUUUUAGGAUUUGUUUCAUACAGAUGCAUACAAAUAUAGUGAAUUACAAAUAUAUUGCUACAAGUUCAACUUUCAUAUGUUGUUUUGUAAAGUUCUAAUAUUUUCAAAUAUAUCCAUACUGUUAGAAUCUAUUAGAAAACUUUAGUUAACCGUAAGCUAAAUGCAUAACUCUGAUUAAUUUAUGAGAUAACUUAAUAUUUUUACUCCUCUUAUAUUAUACUGUUGUGGUUUUCUGGAUGGACAUAUUUGCAAUACCAAAAUUGACAUUUCACUCAAAAUAUAAACAGUUCUAUAACGGUAACAAAACCAGAGUGACACAUUUUAAAAUAUUAGAAUUUUUAUAAGGAUCACUUAUGAAAGUUGAAAUUUGUAGGAAUAUAUUUAUAAUUUACUCUGUGUUGCAGGGACAUGAAUGCAUUUAAUCCUAAUUUUUAUCACUCCAAUAUUCUUCAUUAUUAUAAUCAAAUUCCACACCAUAAUUUAAUUGAUUGAUUUGAUAGCAAUAACUAAAAUAUCAGAUCAACUAAAUUUGGAUAGAAAAUUUUAAUUAUUAUAAAGUUUGAGUUUAAAUUAAAUUUUGAAAAUUAAAGUAUCAUAUACGUUAUUGUUUCAGGAUCAAAAAUAUAAUUUAGUCUAGCUAAUAUAUUUCAAAAUUGAAAUUUAGUUCAACAAAUUUUACCUGUGAUAGGUAAAGAAUUUAUGUAUAGAAAAAAUUAUAGGGGCAAAGUUAGAAUUUAAACAUUAUUAACUUUAAUUUGGAUGGACAUUUCAUGGAAGGAUUAUUUUUGAAAGUUUUUUAAAUUUGAGUAGGUAUAUAUAAUAUUUUAAUUUUGAAAUGGGUAUUUAUGAAAUUAGAUAUUUUGAUAAGGAUACAGAGAAAAUUUUUUCAAAAUUAUAACUCAUUAAAACUCAAUAUGUAGAUAAACAAUUAAUCUCAAAAAUUAAUAAUACAGAAGAAGGAUUGUUCGAUUUAUAUGAAAAUUAAUGAUGAUCCAAAUUUGUUACUUUUUUAACAUAUAGAUAUUUUGACUUUUAUAGAGUACUGUUUUUUUCAUAUAUUAUAUUUUAAUUUGAAAUUUUCUAAUAUAAUAUUUCUAGAGGAUGGUGUACGAGAUGCAACUCAUACACCCGGUGCAGAGCAACUUUGCCUUCGAGAACACGGCAUCUUAGAAGGAGAAAUUUUCNAAAAUUUUUAUUUAUAAAAAUAAGUCUAAACAGUGAAUAAUUAAGAAUGAAUGAUAAAUUACUCAUAGCUUUUAUCAAUUUUAAUAUUUUUAAGAAAACGGUGAUUUAUUUACUGUUCAAGACUAAUUUUAUAAUAUUUUUUUUGAAAAAUUAUUUUUAUAAUUAUAAUAUUUUUUAGGUAUAUUGAUAAAAAAAAUAGAAAUUACUCUCUGAAAUAAUUUUUACAGUAUUUCUCUUACCCACGUAAAAAAGUCCAUAAAGGACCGGCCCAAGACGGCCCAAAAGAGAGAAGGCAAAGGGCCCAAAUAGAUUUUAAGUAAAUUAGGAUUUUUUUUUUUAAAUCUCGAAAACUGGCCAUAACGGUUAUGGGGAGAUUGAACCUCCGACAUCAGAGUCAGCAACUAAGAUUCCAACAAACUACACUAGACAGUGGUGCGUGGUAGGCAUAUUUGAAUCUUAGAACGAGUUAUAAACGAAUAAAUGAUGCAUUAUAAAGAUUUUCUAUUAUGUUUUUUUUUUAUAUAUAAUUUUUAUCAACUAGGAUUUUCUAUUAUGAUUAUCAUCUAGAAAUUUGCUUUUUGUACAUUUCAAGAUCCGCGUAUAAUGAUUUUUCAAAAUAAAAGCGUUCUAUGUACCCACGAAAUUGUUUAUUUUAUUUGAAAAAAAUGUCUAAGCUGGAAAAGACUGACAUGGUCGCUUUGCCUUUAGAAUACCUGUGGAGAUGUUGAAAACUUCAAUCACUCUAUGCGCGCCCCAAACUAGACCUCGUUCAACCAACUUAUACGCAAGCUCAGACUAAAACUACAUUGAAUUGUUGGCUGUUAUUUUUAAUUUGAAACUUCUGCUUUUGAUACCUAAUCACUCAUUUUCAAUUUAUCAUUACAACUUCAAAAUUCUAUAUUAAUUAUUUGUUUACCAAACAAAUGGCAUUUUGCUUUUCGAUCGUAAAAGUCAUUCCAAAAAAUAUCAUACAAGAAUUUUCUGUGCACUGAAUUAUACAAGAAAACUGCACAGCGAUAUAUCUAAGUUGACUUUGAGAAGGCAAAAUUGAACACAAACACAUUUUAAUAUUUUUGCAUGGAGCUAGAGAUCACUAUGAGAUUGUGGACUCAUGGAGCUUCUCCAUGUAGAGGGAACUUUUCCAAGUAAACCACUAAACAAUGUGAUCCCAAUAUACACCUCACUCAACUCAAUUGCCACAUGCAAAGAUCUCUUAAAUUAAAUAAUUCCUUGUGCUUAACAGCUUUGCCCAAACGCAUACCCACACGAAACACCAACUAUUUUAGUAGCAAAAGUGCUUUUUUUCAAAAGCCACUAACAAGUGUAAUGUGAGAGCAAUACAAUUAUGCAUGUUAGGAGAAGCUGUACAUGUCCUGGCCUUGUCAAUGGGCAUGCAUUAUGGAACUGAUCUCUAAUCCAAAGUGACUAAUCUUAUCACCGAUUUUAAUGCGUCGUGACAUGCACUUCAUUAGCCGUCCAUUAUCGCUCGUCAUUCGGUAAAAAGCAAGCACAAUAUAUAAUCAAUAUAUAGUUUAUGACUAAUCAAAUUAUCUAUAUCUAUAUAUAUCUACAUAUAUAUAUAUGUAUUAAGCAACUUUGUAGCUAUAAAUUGAGCAUCAUUGAGAUACUGCUUAGGCUAUAGAGUUAUUGUAUCAUCACUCAUCAAAAUACUAGGUUUAGCUAAGAUGAAGGGUGGUUAUAGGUGUGUUAGCUACAACUUGUUCCUCUCAACUUUAGUUGUGUUGUGUUUUAGCCAAAGUAGUGUGAGAUCUCAAUUGACACCUAAUUUCUAUGCCCAAAGUUGCCCUAAUGUGUUAAAGGUGGUGAAAGCUCGAGUUUUCGCCGCGAUGAAGAAUGAGUUUAGGAUGGGGGCUUCGCUUCUGCGACUUCAUUUCCACGAUUGCUUUGUUAAUGUAUGCGUUAUUUUUGCAUGCAUAAGUUAGUGUUUUUGUAGAAUUUUAGUUCUAUUUGAUCUUACCAUACUUAGAUCAACAUGAGCCAAAAAAGUUUUAUAGUGAGAGGUAAUUAUAUAAAACAAAGUGUAAAAUCUUUUUUCUUCUCCUACAAAAUUAAUAAAUUAUAAUAUAUAUAUCUUUUAUACUAAAAAGUAAAAAGGGGCUAGUUGGAUGAGGAAUUAUAUAUAGAGAUUAUAAAUUUUUUAGUUGUAGACUUUUAGUAUUUUAAUUUCCUUGUAAAAUAGCCCUCUCCACUGUUUUUUUUUUUUAUUGAGACUGCUUUAACUUCUAAUUUUAUCAAAUGAAGUGAUUUUGGUCAAAAAAGAAAUUGGAGAUAUUAUCAAAUUCAUUAGUGAUUUUCCCAAAUUAAAUGGCUUUAAUUUUUUUAGUAAAUAAAAUAGAUUAAUUAAUAGUUAAUAACUAAUAAAAUAAUUAAAUUUAUAAAAAAUUUAACUUAACUGAGUAUUAAAGCUCAAGUCAAAAAAUUAUAAGUUAACAGGUCUCAAUAAAAAAGAGAAUAGUUGAGACGGCUAUUUCAGAACGGCAUAGAUGGGUGAAGUAUAAGAUAUACACUCCUUUUAGAAUAUACCAGUUAUAUUACUUUUCUGAAAAAACACACCCUCUUUAUAUAUAUUUACUUUGUGUGCUUCUUUUUAUGCGCAUGUGUGUGUGUUAGGGCUGUGAUGGGUCAAUUUUGUUAGACGGCAGCGACAGCGAGAAGCUGGCCCUGCCCAACAAGAACUCCGUGAGGGGCUUCGACGUCGUCGACGACAUCAAGGCUGCCGUUGAGAGCGCGUGCAGUGCGACAGUCUCCUGCGCCGACAUUCUCGCUAUCGCCGCAAAAGAAGCCGUCGUUCUGGUGCGCAGCAGCAUACAAUAGUUACAACUAAGAAGCUAUUACACCACACAGCUAGCGAAAAAAAAUAUAAGUCGAAAAGUAGAAACUCUGAGUUGAAUCUUCAAACAAGAAAAUACUAAUUAAUGAAACAUUUAGUAAUAAUAAUAAGGCUAAAUUACAUAAAACCCUCAUGUCAAAAUCUGAUUUUUCACUUUCCCUCCCUUUCAUUUAAAAAUCUACAAUUUGCCCCCUUAUAAAAUGAAAAAUGUUUACUUUGCCCCCUGCCGUUAGUAAUCCGUUAGGGUUCCGUUUAUAAAAUAUUAUUAUAUAUUUUUUAUGCCAAAAAUGCCCUCAGCCUUCUCUCCUGUGAACAUAGUGAGGGGCAAAAUAGUGAGGGACAAAAUGGUCAUUUUUUCAUCACAGUUCACACUGUACCCCUCUGCGAACAUUUUUCAUUUUACAAGGAAGCAAAAUAUAGGUUUUUAAAUGAUGGGGGAAGUGAAAAAUCGGAUUUUGAUAGGGGUGUUUUCUGUAAUUUAGCCUAAUAAUAAUAGGAAAAUGCAAAAACCUUGCAUUUAUGUAAACUUUGGUUGUUAAUUAGAUGUCAUAUUAAUUUGUAUUUGGACUCAUGCAGAGUGGUGGAAGUUCAUGGAAUGUUUUGUUGGGAAGGAGAGAUGGGCUGGCAGCCAACCAGUCAGGAGCAAACUCUGGUCUCCCUUCACCUUUUGAUCCAAUUGACACUAUAAUUUCCAAGUUCAAUGAUGUUGGACUCAACACCACUGAUGUGGCCUCAUUAUCAGGUAUAUAAUAAAUUUUAGACUAGUAAAAUAUUAUAUAGUUUAAGCCACCAUUGUUUCGAGCAGUUGAUUGUUACGUUAUGACACUAUAUAUCUAAGUUGUCAGGGAGUGAAUUCCUAUAUGCAUGUCUCAAUAAAAAGCACAAUAUUUGAGCUGUCAGCUUAUUGGGUAAUAUAAAUAGUAUAGGAUCUCUUGAUAAGGUCUUAAAUAUGUAUUGGCUAAAAUAGAAAAAGUUCUUCUGUAAAUAUCCAUUUUUUUUAUUUUUAUUUUUCUAACUUUCAAAACUAUAUAUUUUAUCCCCUCAAAAAUACAAGUUGAUGCAUUUAGCCCUCCUCUGUCAGGAUUCCAAUAUUAUUCCGUCUAUUUUUAAUAAUUUAUAUCGAAAAUAUGUUUGAAAAUUAAUUAUAGAAAUAUAUUAAAAAAUUAUUCUUUUAUAGAAUAAGUAAGAGUAAUUUGGUUAUUUCACAUUCUCCAUCAAUGCGUGACCCUCUUAAAGGAGAAAAGUUAAAAAAAAUAAAGUAUUUAUAGAAAGGUUCUAUAUAUUUUAGCCACAUAUGUUUUAUUAUUCUACAAUUUGUAAAAUAUAGUAUUUUGAUAUUCUAUAUAAGUAAUCAAGCUAUCAGGGGCUUCAAAUUAAAGUAAUAGACAAAUUAAAUAGAACUUGGAAAAUUUUGUUCCUAACUCACAGAUGAAUUCAAUAAGUGUUUUGAAUUUUCAAUUCAGCACCAAACUUUUCAUUUGUUCGAAAUAAAACCCCCUAGUUAUCACAUGUAAAUUUGAACUUGAAAUUCGAACUUGAAUUUAGGCGCCCACACGAUCGGUCGAGCCCGAUGCGCGCUAUUCAGCAACCGACUGUCGACCCUGGACCCCGUCAUGGCGGCCGACCUGCAGGCGCUGUGCCAGUCCGGGGACGGGAACACCACCACCGCGCUCGACCGCAACUCGGCCGACGUUUUCGACAACCACUACUUCCAGAACCUGCUGAACAACAGAGGGCUCCUAUCCUCAGACCAGGGACUCUUCUCCAGUUCUGAGGGAAUAGCUGCAACCAAGUCCUUGGUUGAGACAUACAGCAAUGAUAGUAAUAGAUUUUUUUGUGAUUUUAUGAACUCUAUGAUUAGAAUGGGGAACAUUAGUCCACUCACUGGAUCUAAUGGAGAAAUUAGGAAAAAUUGUAGGGUAGUAAAUUAAUUAAUUGAAGCUUAAUUUGCGGGGUUGAGAUUAGUUAUAUACAUAUCUUUGUGGUUGCUAUGUAUGGAAGUGUGCUAGUGUUUUGUGUACGUAAUAAUUAAGUGCAGCAUAAUAGAAGUGGAUCUUUUCAUACAGAUUAUUACUGACAGAUCAGGUGCAUUGAAUUUUUAUUUUUUAAAAAAAAUUUUAAAUAUUCGUAAAAUCACUUGAUUUGAAUGAACUUUUUAUAUUAUAAUUUACAACGUCGUAAGAAAUAUUAUUUUAUUUUUUGAUGGUAGUAAUAGAGGCUAACAACUUUAUUUGGAUUUGAAUUUUGAAUAAGUCAAAUAGAGAAUAAUUUUGAUUUUGAUUGACAAGAUCAUGUUCCCCAAUUGAUGUGCCCAAAAUGGAAAAAAUACAAAUGUGUGUUUGUACUUGUCACAUCAAUGUAGAUUCGAAAUGAGCCAUAAGUAAGAAAAAUAAAACAAAAAUGUAUAUAUGGAGGUCCCCCUUUCACUCUAGGCCAUUAAUUAAGAAAGAAACCUCUCAACUAAAUUUUUUGCCUUUCACUUUUUCUGAAUUGUUUUUUUGUAAUUAAAUUAAAAAUCUUGUUAAAUUUUAGAUCUUAGCUAUAAACAAUUAACAAAUCCUAUUUUGUCCGUUUAAAACUAGUUUAAAGUAUUAAAUUUAAGGGAAAACUUCAAAAACCCCCCCUGUGGUUUUGUAGUUUCUCACUUUGCCCCCCUGUGGUUUAAAGUGUAUCAAUUUGCUCCCCUGUGGUUUCGUUUUUUAUCUUUUCGGUAGCUUUUUCGUUAAUAUUUUGUUAAAUUAUAUACAAAAAACUUCAGAUACUCAUCUAGAUUUAUCAAAUAUUCACUUUAGUACCCUUUAAUUUUAACUUUAUUACUGAUUUAAGGAAAAAAAAUAAUAAAAUUGAUAAGAAAAAGAAAAAAACAAAACCACAGGGGGGCAAAUUGAUACAUUUUAAACCACAGGGGGGCAAAGUGAGAAACUACGAAACCACAUGGGGGGCUUUUGAAGUUUUCCCUAAAUUUAAUAGAAUUGUAAAUCAGUUUGAUAAAAUUUUUAAUUCAUUCUCGAUUCUAAAAAAUAAAUAAAAAGUUGUGGGAUUCUCAAUAAGAAAAUAAGAUUAUCUUCUUUGAAAAAUAGCAUAGAGAGGGUUUCAAUAUAUUUUUGCUAAAGAAAUAAGAUUAUCUUCUUUGAAAAAUAUUACUGGCGUACUCUUUUAUAGGAAAAUAAUCUUUUAUUUCAUACUUGCAUCAUAUUAUUUAUAUCUCAAACUAAAUCUAUCUCUCCUUUUGAUAUAAAAGUAUAAUAAAAAUAUUUUUGUUAAAAAACACGAUGAAAUAUUCUCCCAUCAACACGAAGCAUAAAGAAAAAAAAAAUUCUGUAUAUUGAAUUCCUCGCAAGAACAAUACAAACAUAUUUUGCAUACAAUGAGAGCAUCAUGAGAGUAUGAAACUAAGUAAAUCUAUUUAUUUCAAUUUUUGUACAUUCAACUUUUACAUCCAUGAUUCAAAGCUUCGUACAUAUAUAGUUCAAUCCUAGAUGCAUAAUUUGAUUGGUUCGUGAAUGAGGUGGCGCAACUGUAAUAUUUUUAACCCUUUUUAUAUGGUGUAAAUAUAUUUUAUGUGGAUGAUAUGAUACAGCUGUGACAUUUUAGUGUUUUAUAUAUAUAUAUAUAUAUAUAUAUAUAUAUAUAUAUAUAUAUAUAUAUAUGGCAUAAUAUUUCGUAGCUGAAUCCUAAUCGCCUGUUAGCAAAAGUAUAUAUAUAUAAUAUAAUAAUAAUAGGGAUUCAAAUCCCCAACCUCAAAGACGCCAACUGAGUCGUCGUCGUCGUUCCUGUCGCCAUUGAUGGAGUCUGUCCCGAAGAAACGGAAAAUAGAAGGAAGAUGCUCUCGUCAGCCUAUCCCUGACGAGCUCAUCUCGGAGGUGCUUGUUCGGCUGCCGGUGAAGUCCCUCCUCCGAUUCCGGUGCGUAUCCAGGACCUGGCGUUCUCUGAUCUCCGAUCCUCACUUAAUUGAAUCCCACCACCGCCGUUCGCAGCAGCACCCCCUCGCUCUCGUCAGAGAAUGGAACUUAAACGGCGACAAUAAGGGCAAAGCAACCUACGUUCCGACCAGGGGAGCUACCCUGCAAAGAAUAUACUAUGAUGUCGCCGGCUUCAACAGCAUCAGCGACAUGGCCGUCAGAGUAUUCUCCUCCUCUCCCGAUCUCAUAUGCAUCCGAGAAGACGGCAGCCGCUGCUCGCUGCUAAAUCCGGCGACGCGGGAGCGGGUGACUCUGCCUGAGUUCUCUUCUGGGAAUACCACUUUUCUUCGCUACGUGGGGUUUGGCUACGUACCAUCCCUGAGGAAAUUCAAGGUCGCCAGGGUCUUCGGCCACGUGGAUAUAGACCGUGGGAGCGGCCGACAGGUAGUGGAAGAGAGAUGCGCGGUGCUCACCGUCGGCGUCGACCGAUCAUGGAGGCCGGCGAGAGGUCCUCCUUUUAUGAUCACGCGGGAUCAAAUGGCGUUCGUCAACGGAGCCCUACACAUGACGCCGAGCACGGAGGAAGGCAAGGGAUUGGCGGCGCUCGAUCUCGAGACGGAGGCGUGGCGGGUGAUUCCGAUGCCGCGCGGCGUCUNNNNNNNNNNNNNNNNNNNNNNNNNNNNNNNNNNNNNNNNNNNNNNNNNNNNNNNNNNNNNNNNNNNNNNNNNNNNNNNNNNNNNNNNNNNNNNNNNNNNNNNNNNNNNNNNNNNNNNNNNNNNNNNNNNNNNNNNNNNNNNNNNNNNNNNNCAAGUUUAACGGUGUAGAAAUAUCCAAAUCACGUGAAAUUUUGAUAGAAAAUUCUUUAUACUAUAUAAAACAAGAUCAAUAUCUUUGAUUUAAAAUUUUAAUGUCAUAUUAUUACAUUUUGUAAGAUUUUUAUUUUCAGCCGUUGAUUUUGAGCCCCUUCGUUCACUAGGCAAAUGAUAUCGUAAAAUCAUAAAAUUUAUUUUCUAGGUACUUCAAAUACUCUAAAUCAAGUUUAACGGAGCCGAUCGACGAUUCGAAAGUCGCAACAUCGAAAACGAGGUGGAAGCACGGAAAGCUCCGUGCUUCCGAUAGCAUAGUAGCCUCACUCUAUAUAUAUAUAUAUAUAUGGUUGUAAAUUUUAUACAUCUAGAUCUAAGAGAUUGGUAAAACUCUCUCGGAUUUUAGUUCGGAAAACAAUAAUAUUGAUCACAAGAUAACUAAAAUUAUAUGAACCAUAAAAGCUCCAUGGAUGUGAACUUUACACCUAUAUACACAGAAUAUAUGAAUAGUAUUGCUCUCGAUCGUUAUCGAUCUUUUUAUAGAAAGAUUCUCUCUUCACGUGACUUAAAAUUGUCCUUUCUACUGAAGCUAUUUUAUGGAAAAGCCCCCAAACCUUGGAAGUCUAUAUAUGUUGGGACCCUUUGAUAUUGUGAGUUAUUUAAUGAUUUAAUUUCACAAUUUCAGUGUAUUUUGUGAAAUUGUGCAAAAUUUAAUAUAAUUGAAUCAUUACAAUCAAUAAAACAUGAUUUUUAAAAAAAAUAAAUAUAGUACUUUAAUUUUUAUAUUAUUUUUUUGCUGUAUGUAACGAACAUUUCCCUCUCUCUCAAAUAGAUUAUAAUUAUGAAGUAGAGCUUCAAUUUCACAUGCACAAGCACGCAUCACAUAAACACAUAUAAACUCUCUUUUUUUAUUUCUCCCUGCAUGUGGAUUAUUUCUGAACCGCUUUGAUUGAUAAUACAUACAAAAUUAUUCUUUUUUUUUUCUAAGUCAAUAUAUGAAAUAGCCAUUAAUUGUACUCUAAAAUUUAAACUUUUAGAGAAUAACAAUUAUUUCGUAUUAUUUAAUAUGCAAUCAGAGUAGAAAUUCAUGUCAUAGGCCUAAUAAAAAUUCUCGAGCUCAGAUGUGAGGAAAGUGUUAAAUAUAAAUAUAUUUAAAUACUAUUCUCUACUAGUUUAAAUUUUUAGAGAAUAUAACUUGACCCAAUCCCGUCUCACGCUAUUUUCAAUGUGACUCGGCUCACUUGGCCUUCCGCCGUACAAUAGAAUACUAGCCCAUUUAAUUCAACAAAAUUUACAUGAACAAUAUUUAGUGUAUAAUUAGCAUUGCUCAUAAUUAAUUACCAAAGGAUGAGACAGGUUUAAAGUUUCAGUCCCCAUCCAACUCCUCAGAAAUGAUUGGGAUGAGACAUAAAUUAUAAUUUACGUAAAAGGCAAAUGAUUAUGCUUUGAACUAAAUUUAAAAUGUACCUUGAUUUGAGUGUAAAUUAAUCAAGCAUUUACUAUGAAAAUCAAACCUUUAAACUCACACAAUCAUAGGAGUGCUAAAUUAGCUCUAAUAACAAACAAAUAGAAAAAAAGUCUAAAAUGCAGAAAAACUUCCGCAACCUUCUUGAUUUUUUUUUUUUUCUCUCUAACUAGGAAAUAGAACAAAUAAAAAAAAAGUUUAAAAUACAGAAAAACUCUCGCGAGUAAUUCAUUUUCUUUUUCUCUCCCUAAAGCUGAAAAAAUCUACCGAAAACUUGCCGGAUAAAUACUCAAAGAGGUUUUAUUUGUAUAAUUAUGAAUUUGUCAUCAGAAUUUCCUAUGUUUUACCCUAAGAUUGAUGGAAAAAAUCAUCAAUCUUCUCUCAUAUUAAUGCAUAGCAAAGAUGAGACCCAAUACAAGCAAAUUAUAAAUAGAUUUGACCCUAUAUUAUAUAAUAGAUUUGAUCAGAUUCAAUAUGUAACUUACUCAACCGUGAACAAUAAUUAGUGUGGUCACUACAUUUGGAGAUUGAGGGUCUUAAUCCUUCCAUGCAUGCAUGCAUGCAUGGAAAACCUCUAGUCAUUAUCUUCACUCGAUUACUUUGAUGUCGAAAAUGGAGAUGAUAGGGAAAAGGCAUGUGAUGAGCUCUACUUGUUGCAAUAAAGAGAGAGUACCACUAUGUCUUUUUUGGUUCAAUUAAUUAGGCCAACUCAAAACCUAACUCUCUAAAGAUACAAAUAAUUUGCAACUUUUUUUAAACACACCGUUGCUAGAUUGUUGGGGAAGCCCUUUUUUGUAUGGAGUUUGUAGAGCUUAACUAGUUUAUCAUAGUAAAAGAGAAUAUAUAGAAAUUAACUCGUUCGCAUCGAAAGAGAAACAUAGUUUUCCUAAGUAAAGCCUCAUAAAAUUAAGGAAUAUCAUUUUAUGUAAAACGUAUAUAUAUUGGUUGUCCAUAAACACAUUUGAUUUUAAUCUCUGAGAUUACCUCUUUGAAAGUGCUAAUCAAAUUAAGUUACAUUUUUUUUGUUUUAAGCUUGCAAUAUUUACUAGGACUUAGUAACUAUUAGGUGAGCUGAUUAAAGUGUAAUACAAACAACACAGAAACCAAAUUGCAAUUGUUUUCAAAAAUGCGGAGAGUACUAUACAAAUUUACCCCACAUAUCAUUUUUUGAUGGUCCCCUCCUUUUUUGUUGCCUUCAAUUGACAUGAUAGUGAGAGCACAGUUACAAAAUAUUACUCAAAUAGGAACCCUUGGAAAUGCCUUUGCACCUUUCAAUAAUUUUGUACUAUAAAUAAUGCUUUUAGAAUUUAUAUUAGAAUGCACACAAGAAGAAGAAGAAGAAAUGUCAUCUUAUUCUUCUUCUAUUUCUUCAACAACUCUAGUCAUCUUCUUUGUACUUCUACUUCGCGGCACCGAAGCUCAAUUGAGCUCCGACUUCUACGAUCACACGUGCCCGGAUGUGUACCAUAUCGUGCGCAGCGUAAUCAAGCACGCACACAAAUCCGACAUUCGGAUCUACGCGAGCCUUAAUCGCCUUCACUUCCAUGACUGCUUCGUCCAAGUAAUCUUCUUCCUCGCCCUCCUACAACUUUCCCCUCUUUACGAACUACAUUUCAAGUAUAUACAUUUUAAGAUUGAGACUAUGGUGUUGAAUAUUUUCACUAGUCAAAUUAAUAUGCCAUGCAACUAGUAAUUAAAUUCAAUGUAUCUACUCAGUCAAUAAUUAAUUAUUUUCACUCCGUUAAUAGUAUUACUCUGAAUGCACAACUUACAAGUACAUAUACGUUCUUUUCAACCGGCCUCUCUAUCAUUUCUUUUCCCUUUCGUACGUGCUACCAAAUUUGACAAAAUUGAUUGCUGAGUUUGUAGGGUUGCGAUGGAUCAUUGUUGUUGGAUAGUAGCUCGACGAUAGUGAGCGAGAAGAAUGCGAUUGGGAACAAUAAUUCCUUACGGGGAUUUCCCGUGGUAGACGCGAUCAAAGAGGCACUAGAGCAUGCUUGUCCUGGCGUGGUCUCAUGCGCGGAUAUCCUCGCCCUCGCAGCUGAAGCUUCUGUAGAAUUGGUGAGCCAUUUCCUAGCUAGCUAGCUAGCUAGUAUCAUCGAUUCGAUAUUUUCUCACAUUUAACUUCCUUAAUUUCAAACCUCACUUAAAUUUGAAACUUAAAAUCUUUUAGGAUAAACUUCAAAUUUUCCUCCUAUAUAUAACUGUCCUCCGAUAACGCUUUUUCAUUUUGCCGCUCCAUAAUCAAAAUGUUAUACUUAAGUACUAUAUCAUGUGAUUUAGUGCAUUUUUCAUUUUGUCAUCCUAUGAUUUUUUAAAAUUUCUUUUACUUUGUCAUUCUAUUCGAUAUAAAAUUUUUUUGGUAAAAUAAAAAUUAACUGCAGGAGGGUAAAGUGCAAAUUUUUCAACCAUGGGAUGGUAAUCAUAAAAUAAAAUAUAUGUUAUACCACAUAGGGAGCAAUUUGAAGUUUACCCAAUCUUUUUUCACAAUUUUAAGAUGGGUCCAAUCAGUCUAAUUUAUUGUAAAUGGGAUCCUAAACUUUUUAAUUUGACUCUUCAAACAAAGAAUUUAACAGUCCUUUUCACAGCUAAAAUUUAAUAAUUGCAAAAUCAUAGGUUAUUUAAUUCUUUUAGGAAUUUUUAAAUUUUUUUUCCAGAAUCAUUGUAGUCAUGUUUAAUGUUUAAUAAUAAUAAUAAUAGGUUGUGACCUCUUCUAUCUCUUAAACUUAUAUAAUUUAAUUAAGGUAGUUAGUUAUAUGCUCUAACUAAUGGUAAAACCGCAUAUAACAAGAUCCUUUGAUAAUGACACAAGUCAAAUUUUGACCAGUUUAUUCUUCUUAAUUAGAUGUUUAAACACUGUGUUAGUUUGUAGAGGCAAUUUUAAAAUUUAAAGCUACCUUAUAUAUAUAUAUAUAUAUAUAUAUAUAUAUAUAUAUAUAUAUAUAUAUNAUAUAUAUAUAUAUAUAUAUAUAUAUAUAUAUAUAUAUAUAUAUAAUUAGGCUGGAAUACUAUUAAUAGUAAAACGCUCUUUUUGCUAUCAAGUUUUUAACCAUUGGAUGAAAAAUUAUAGGGUCAGAAUGAUAUUAGUUAGUUAGAGAUGAGUGGUCCCCCUGGGGUUGAGUGGUCCCUACUGGGUUAUAGUAUUUAAUCCAAUGGUUAGAAAUAAUGAAAAGAAUUGAUCCAAAGGCUAAAAAACUGGUAGCAACAAUUGAAAUUUUGCUACUAAUAGUAGCUCAGUCCAACUCUAUAUAUAUAUAUAUAUAGAAUUAGACUACUUUACUAUCUAUAUAUAGUACCGGAGCUCCGGUACUAUAGUUUUGUUUUCGAUCUUAGGAUGUUCAAAUUAACGAUCCACACCGUUAAAUAUGAUUUAGGGUAUAUAAACUUCUUAGGAAUAAAUUUUUAGUUUUUUUAGACAUCGUUUACUUAGUAAAUAAAUUAUGUCAAAAUAGACGGUGGAAAUUGAAUAAUUUUUAAAAUUUGAGUAUAGGACUUUUAAAUUCAAGAUCAAGAAUGUUAACCUAAAUCUAGAUAGUUUGAAGUAUUUUCUAUCAAAAUUUGAAGAAAUUUAGAUUCUUCUACACUGUUAAACACCAAACUCGCCAUAAUAGCCAUUGAAAAUUGACAAUUUUGAAAUGGUUUGAUCAUAAAGUAAACUAUGUCGAAAAAAUAUAAAAUUUUAUUUCUAAAAAUUUUAAAUACCCUAGAUCAGUUUUAACGGUGUGGAUCGUUGAUUUAAACACCCUAAGAUCGAAAACGAGAUUAUAAUAUCGGAGCCCCGGUACUAUAGAUAGUAUAGAAGACUAGCUCUAUAUAUAUAUAUAUAUAUAUAGAGAGAGAGAGAGAGAGAGAGAGAGAGAGGCUACUAUACUUUUGGAAGUACGGAGCUUUCCGCACUUUCAGGUCAUUUUCGAUAUUGCGACUUUCAAAUCGCCGAUCGGCUCCAUUAAAGUUGAUUUAGAGUAUUUGAAGUAUCUAGAAAAUAAAUUUUAUGAUUUUUCGAUAUCAUUUGUCUAGUGAUCGAAGGGGCUUAAAAUCAAUAAUUUUAAUGGCUGUAGUGAACCGUUUGCAAGUUUAACGGUGUAGAAAUAUCCAAAUCACGUGAAAUUUUGAUAGAAAAUUCUUUAUACUAUAUAAAACAAGUUCAAUAUCUUUGAUCUAAAAUUUUAAUGUAAUAUUAUCACGUUUUGUAAGAUUUUUAUUUUCAGCCGUUGAUUUUGAGCCCCUUCGUCCACUAGGCAAAUGAUAUCAUAAAAUCAUAAAAUUUAUUUUCUAGGUACUUCAAAUACUCUAGAUCAAAUUUUACGGAGCCGAUCGUCGAUUCGAAAGUCCCAACAUCGAAAAUGACUUAGAAGUAUGGAAGGCUCCAUACUUUCAACCGUUAAAAAUUAUUGAUUUUGAAUAUUUUCGAUUGCUAGGUAAAUGAUAUCGAAAAAUCGCAAAAAUUAUUUUCUAAAAACUUCAAAUACGCUAGAUCAAAUUUAAUGGAGCCGAUCGUCGAUUCGGAAACUCCAUCAUCGAAAACGGCUCAGGAGCACGGAAGCCUCCGUGCUCCUGAGAGCACAGCAGCCCUGCUAUAUAUAUAUAUAUAGUAGGGCUACUAUACUUUUAUGAGUAUANAAAUUAAUUUCUUUGACCAUUUUUUGCCAUUAGAUUAUACUAUUCAACCAACCAUGCACCCAUUCAACCUUAGGGGACCACUAUCAUCCUAAUUGUAGAUCGCUUCAUCCAAGGGCCGAAAACUUAAUAACACCAAUAACUUGGUGCUAUUAAUAAUAUUCCAGCCUAAUUGUAUAUAUAUAUAUAUAUAUAUAUAUAUAUAUAUAUAUAUAUAUAUAUAAUUGAGCUCCUAUGUUUUUGAAAGUACCAAGAGAUUGGUGCUUGUAAGUUUUUAGCCUUUAGAUUAAAAAAUAUGUGGUUAGGAUGAUGUGGGCUUCCUAGGGUUGAGUGGGUGGUUGGUUGAAUAGUUUAAUCUAACAGGUGUAAAUGAUCAACUGUGCUGAUCUAACGGUUAAAAACCUACAAGCACAAAGUGAUUGGUGCUUUUACAAGCACCAUAGCCGGACUCUAUAUAUAUAUAAUCUGGCUAGCUACUAUACUCAUAAGAGUAUAGUAGCCCUAGCCCAUAAUAUAUAUAUAUAUAUUAACAACAUAUAAAAAAUAUUGUCGCUGAUCAACAUUUGCUUUAGAAAUAUCAAUUCUGCAAUACUCGCAAGUAAAGUUGUUGACAGUCUGGUGGCCCCAAGUGGUGUGUGCUGCUGGGAAGGCGGGACAGCACAACGGCAAACCUGACCGGCGCCCAAAACCUUCCAAGCCCCUUCGACAGCCUGCAGGCACUCCGGUCAAAGUUCUCCGCCGUCGGCCUCAACGACACUGAUCUCGUCGCCUUAUCAGGUCUUUAUAAGAAUCUAAAAUAUAGCAGUCAUAUAGAUGAUGCGCCGUCUCCGGCCAAACACAUUUGGCUCCCCAAUAUACCGGUUGCAUAAUAAUUUCUUUAAAAAAAUUAUUUUUGUUGCAAUUUUUUUGGAUUAAUUCAUACAGAUCCCUACAAAUAUAGUAAAUGGUAAAAUAAAUUCCUACAAAAUUUAUUUUUAAUAUUAUGUUGUCCCUGCAAAUGUCCUGUUGUUUUCAAAUAUACCUUUGCCGUUAGAAUCCGUCAGAAAAAUUUAGUUAACCAUAAAUUAAAUACUUAACUCUGGUUAGUUUUUGACAUUUUUAUCUCUUUAUAUUAUAAGGAAUAUAUUUGUGAUGAUUUCUCUAACGGUAACAAAUCAGAGGGGUAUAUUUGAAAAUAUCAGGACUUUUGUAAGGACAACAUAUAAAAGUUGAACUUUUUAGGGAUAAAUUUAUCAUUCACUAUAUUUGCAGCAAUCUAUAUGAAAUUAACCCUUGUUUAAAAAGAAUUAUGUGAUUUUCAGGAGCAUAGAUGAUGCUGUGUAGCUGUUAUAUAGAAAAGUUUCUCAAAUUUUACACUUACAGGAGCACACACUUUCGGUCGAGCACAAUGUGGGAUCUUCAGCUACCGACUAUACAACUUCAGCGGGACGGGCCAGCCCGACCCGACGCUGAACGGAGACUACCGGGUCCAAUUACAGCAGAACUGCCCGCAAAACGCGAACUUCAACAGAUUGAACAAUCUCGAACCGACCAUGCCCGACAUUUUCGACUACAACUACUUCCUCGACAUCGAGAACAACCGCGGCCUCCUGCAGUCCGACCAAGAGCUGCUCUCUGCAGUGGAUGCGGUGUCGACCACCGCCCCGAUCAUAAACAGCUUCGCCAGCGACCAGAGCACCUUCUUUAGCAACUUCGCGGCGUCGAUGAUCAACAUGGGGAAUAUAAGCCCAUUAACUGGGGAUCAAGGGGAGAUUAGGAAGAAUUGCAGGGUGGUUAAUGAUAGCUGAAGAAAUAUUGGUGUGGAAAUUUUUGUAGUUAAUGGUCUGUUUGUUUGCACGGAAGUGGGGUGGAACCGUGGAAGUGGGAAGGGGAAAGUGAUUUUCGGUGAAAACUGACUACUUCCGUUGUUUGGUUUAUUGUAAUUUUAUUACGGCCGAAAGUUUAGUUCACCCAAAAUACCAAAAUUGACUUCGCCCUUCCCAUGGGGCGAAGUCAAUUUCGGUGAAGUGAAAGGAGGCAAGAGUGGGAACUUAAUUAUGGUUGAUGUCUUACGGUUACACUCUUCUCAAUUGUGAAAGUAAUUAAAUUUUUUAUUUUGAUUGUAUGUCUAAAAUAUGAUCAAAUUUGAUUAGGUAAGCUUUAAUAUAUUUUUUGUUUAAUUUGUAUUUUUAGAAAAUUAUGAAAAUUAAUUUGUUAAAUGUUAAUAAUUUUUUAACUUUAAAAUUUUAUUUGUUAUAUUAUUAUAAUUUAUAUGCAAACAGAUAAUAUAAUUUUUUAAAAUUUUAUUUUAUAAUUAUACAGAUAUAUAAUUAUAUUAAUUUUUUUAUUUAUUAUAAUUUAUUAUUCACUAAUAAGUUACAAGUAGAUAAUGAUAUCACGUAGGAGGUAAGUAUACCGGCGAUAUAGGGAUUAUAUAAUUUUCGAUAAAACAAACGGAGGGAGCGGAGAACUGUACUUUUUACGUUAUCUACUUUCUACCAAACAAAUAGCAGAACUGGCAGAACUGCACUUUCACAGUUAGAAACAAACAGCAGAAGUGAAUUAAUUUUCACCUAAACUCUACUUCAAUUCAAAAUCCACUUCUACUCAAAAUUUACUUACGUUGAAACAAACAUGCCCUAAGCUGAACAAGUCGUAAGGUACAUGACAAAUAAUCAUGUUCUCAGCGAGAACACGUAGAAUGAGCCAACUCAGAUUCUAUUCUCAUCUUCUCCUGUAAAUCGAGAUAAGUAUUAUUUGUGUGGAACAUCAUGCACAGUAUCGGAUGUUCGGAAAGAGUGCGACAAAUUAUUUGUAUGUUUUCGAGUGGAAUAAAAACAAGAGCUUUAAGUAUUGUUUGCAAUUUCUUUGUACUACUAGAAUAAAUUUGCAACUUGUACAAUGCAUCCACAUUGAUCUUGUUGUUUGGAACUUAGCUUAAUAUUUUUCUUUUCAUUCAUUAAUAAGAUAAUCGAUCUCGAUAUUCAAAUUAAAAAGAAAAAACUUUAUUAUUAGUUACUCUCCAAACUGUUUUUUGUUUGGAACAGAAAUUAUAAAAAUUUAGGAGUGUGGUCAGAGAUUACUUAAGAAGCUUAAAUUAAAUAAUAUUCAAUGCAAUUGUAGUUUUGAAUCCUAAUCUAUAAUAUAUAAAAAUAAAAAUAAAAAAUAAAAAAAAGACUUUAUAUGGUGCAUAGGAUUCACUUACUAUGGUGUAAUAUGUUAGAGGAAAAACUUAAUAUAACUUCUCUUUUGGACCUACUUAAUUAUAUAAGAUGGGAGAGUGUAUUAGAUAAUGACAAAGAAAUACGUGUAGAGCUAUUAUACAUAGUUUGGAAAGCAUAAAGAAGUUAGUGUUUUCGACUUUUUGGCCCUUAAAUUAAGAAUUAUAGAAUUGGGAUGAUAGUGGUCCUCCUAAAAGAAUAAUAUUAAUCUAAGGGCUAUAAAUGGUCAAAGGGUUUAAUCGAAGGGUUAAAAAAUUAGAAACACCAACUUGAUCAUUUAUGCUUUCGAAAGCACCAUAAGGGGACUCAAUAAAUACUUAGAUUGCUACAUUUUUCAUUGAAAUAGAACUUUAAAAUAUCUAGUUCAAAACAAACUAAAAUAGUAACUCAAUUUCAAGUACCUAGUUAAUUAUUGGCUAUGGUGAGUGUGAUCUUUUAAUAAUAGGUAUGUUGAAGCUAGGUAACAUUUACAUAAUAAAUUUGAUCAGAUUUAAUGUAUCUGGUAAGUCGCUAAUAACUAACUUAUUAUAUAUCCAAGACAAGAUAGCUGUUGUCUUUGACAUUAAUGACCUUGCUUGCAAAAUAGCAUAAUCAAUCAAAUCAUUGAUGUUUACCCCUUGCAUGGUACAUCAUUGAUAAUGUAGCAUUGUAGUGUCUAAGUACACAAUUUGCAAAUUAAUUAAGAAAACUCAAGUAGAAAAUUUUAAAUCUAUUGAGAGAGUUGAGAAAAUACUUUUAGAAAUACCAAGUUCUCAAUGCUUUCACAUGGUUUUGGAUGAUGAGGAAUUCAAAUCGACAUGAAUUAAUGGAGCUAGAAUUCAAUUUCAACACUAUUUAUCUAGUGUCCAAGUAGUCUAAAAAUUAACAAUUUUCGACGGUAAAUAUAAGGUGUAUUUGUGAUCGCUUAUAUAAUCGCUGAGAAAUAUUGUCAAAAAUCACGAAUUUUGAAUUUUAGAAAGUUCCACAUGCCAUAAAUCAUGUUCAACAAUACUGUUCACUACUUAAUCACUAAAUAAAUAAUAUCGAAAUAUCACAAAUUUUUAAAUUUUAAAAAUUUCACAUAUCAUAAAUCAUGUUCAACAUCGAUCAUUGCUCACCGCUUACUUUUACACUAGAUAAAUAAUACCAAAAAUCACAAAUUUUGAAUUUUAGAAAAAUUCACAAACCAUAGAUCAUCUUCAGCAGCAUUGUUCACCACUUAAUUACUAAAUAAAUAAUAUCGAAAAUUCACAAAUUUUAAAUUUUAGAAAGUUCACGUACCAUAAAUCAUGUUCAACCGCAUUGUUCAUCGAUUAUCGAGGGCUUGGUAGUUGGUAUUAUUAAUAUCCCUAAUCCUAAAGCAUGCUUAUCUUUGCAUUUAUGCAUGGGAAACCAAGUCAUUAUCCUUCACUUGUUUGCUUUUUUGAUGUAGAUGAUGAUGGAAAUGGUAUAGAGAGAGUGCGCACAUGUGAUAAGGAGAAAUUUAUUGCAAUGAAGAGAGAGUAGCAUUAUGUCAUUUUAAGUUCAAUUAAUUGUAACACGUGUGCCAACCAUAUGCAUAUAAUAAUACACUGUUUUCAACUUUUUUAAUAAAAAAAAAUGCUAGCAUUGUCGGCAACACACUUUAAUUACUUCUCUAAUUUAAUUAAUUUACACUAUUAAUUAAUAUUUCUGAAUCCAUUUUCUAAUAACUUGAUCUUUUAGGUAACUAAUAUUGUAUAAAACCAAUUUUGAAUAUUAUAAUGUGAUACUUCUUAAUUUCGCAUACAUUUUAUAUAUAUUCCUGGAUAUAUUGAUCUUUGCGAUAACAUGUGCACGCAUGCCAUAUUUUUUAAAAACAAUAAUAAAAAAACGAAAAAUAAAUGCACCUUAAUUACCCCCGAAUAUAUCAUGUUCCAUGUAUACAUAACCCUUUUAGAAUAUAAAAACAAAUUGUUGCAUGUUUAAUUAAUUGCAAAACUUAUGUAUGUUCUACACUCAACAUGUUGUUUUGCAAAACUUCUGUAAAAAUAAGCAACCGAAACAAUUAUUGUAUUAUUUAGGGAGGUAAUUAAAGUGCAUAUAUUUGUAUUAUUUGGGGUUUACAUGCAACGGUGCAAUAUUUUCAAAGGGAUAAUUUGCAUAACUUAUAUAAAAGCAAAAUGACUUGUUUAAAAAUUAAUGAAAUGAUCAUCGUGUAUAUUAAAUUUUUACGGAUUUAUGAUUCAAUUCUAAACAAUUGACUUCGACAAAGUGUGGGUUUUGUACUUAGUUUUCAACCUCUAUUAAAGUUAUAAUUAUAAAUUGAUUAAUGACAGAGAAUUUUGUGUGGAAAAUAAACCCAAGAAUGAUGUCCUAAGAUAUUAGACAAGUUCAAAAUCUAAUCUAAAUAGUAUAGUGAGCAAAUCGGAAUUUUUCAUGAGUUCAGGGACUAUCUUACAAUUUUAGGCCUCGUUUGUGUCAUUCGAACACAAAUUAUACGCAAUGAAGAAUGAGAGUGAAUGAUAGAGCGCUUGUAAGUAAUAAACUUAAGCAAAUUUGGUAAACAAAAAACAAAAGCAUAUGUAGUGGUCAUUUUUUUGGGUUAAAAAAUGUGAAAUAAUCAUCGUCUUCCAAAAUUUAAGAUAUCAGAAAACGGUGUUUCUUACAAGUUACAUAUUCGAAACAAGCCUCUUCAUAUCUGGACUAGCUCGUGAAUAAGAGAAAACUAGGUAAUACUAGAAACCUAGCUAGGAAGACUCGAAGUAUUGACCUCUUGCUCUCAUACAAUGUUAAAGAAUGUAAAACAAUCGCUGUUCUUCAAAAAUUUAAGUUGUCAGAGAACACUGUUACUCAUUCAUCUAUUCAACACUUAUGUUUUGAAUUUAUUUGGCAUUUUUAUGACCUUUGUUGGCAUCUAACUGAGCUGCAUUACAAACAAGCUAACAACUAUGUAAAGUUUUUAUCUAUAAAGAAAAGCAAAAAUAUAUGACAAUAAUACUAAACAAGAACUUACCUAAUCAAUUUUUUGUUGAGAUGUCCCUCUUUGUUGGUUGCCUUAAUUUCCAAUCCACAUGAUAGUGUAGAGAAUUGAUAUAAAAUAUUUAUAAGUAGGAAUAUAGAACCGAGAUUUUUAAAUAUGUAGAAGAAAUUCUGUUCGUUUGGAGAAAGGAGCUUAUGUUCAUACGACGAAUCUAUACACAUUCGAGAUAGACUUCUAGGUAAAAAAAAGUAUAUUUUUUAUUGUAUUCAGUAUAAAAAUUUUACAGAAGAGUCCUGGGCAUGACAAGGAACCCUCCUCCUUAGGAGGCUAAGAGACCAUUUCCAUGCCCAAUUUGUGUUGGAAAAGUCAUUGCACUGCUUUUAGAACACCAACUUGGAAUGUUCAAAUGCUUACCAAGCAAGCUCAACCCCCUCAAUUUAAGUUGCAUGGCCCCCCAAAACCCUUACCCUUCACUAUAUAACUAUGCCUCUGAACCCUCAUUCCAAACCACACAAGCUAGUGUACUGGUCAUAUAACAAGAAGAAGAAUAAGAAGAAGAAAAUGUUGUCUAAUUAUUCUGCUUCUCUUUCUUCAGUAGUUCUAACCAUCUUCGCUGUUCUUCUGCUUCGCGGUUCCGAAGCUCAACUGAGCUCCACCUUCUACGAUCGCACGUGCCCGAAUGUGUCGGCUAUCGUGACCAGCGUCAUCAAGCAGGCGCAUCAGUCCGACGUUAGGAUCUACGCGAGCCUCACCCGCCUUUUCUUCCACGACUGCUUUGUCCAAGUACUCGAUCGUUUUCACCUUCGCCUCUCCUAUCUUUCUCGACAACAAAUUUUUAUGUAGAUUAAAUUUUAGACUCGCGCAUGAGAUAAUGAUACCAACGGUACAAAUAUGACAUGUCAAUAAAAAAUUAGAAGCACUGAAUCUUGUCAAAUUUAUUAUAUAACAAUUUCUUCUUUGCUUAUAAUAUCACUAUCAUUUAUAUAACUCGCGAGUAUUUAUUGGUCUUUUCCUCUCGCGCUAACAAAUCGAAUGAAAUAUGAAAUUCACAGGGUUGUGAUGGAUCGUUGUUCUUAGACAGUACCCCUACGAUACAGAGCGAGAAGAGCGCGCCUGCGAACAACAAUUCGGCCCGCGGGUUCCCCGUGGUGGACAAUAUCAAGGCGGCGAUAGAGAAUGUUUGUCCCGGCGUGGUCUCGUGCGCCGAUAUCCUCGCCCUUGCAUCUGAAGCUUCUGUGGAUCUGGUAAGCCAUCUCCUAGUACCAUCACUACUCCGAUUUUCUCCCGCGUUUCCUUAAAGUCCUACAUAUUGACCCUUCUACACAAAGGAAAGUUCUAAGACUAAUUCUUUCAAAGAGCACUUUCACUUCAUUAGAAAAAAGAACAUAUCUGAACUAUGACCCAUUUUGAUCCAAUUAUCUAAUCCUUAAGAAUUUUGAUUUGAGUAAUUCAAUGACUUUUAAACUUUAAAAUUUGAGUGUAUUGUUUAUUUUUACGAGCCUGAUCAUUAAUUAGUAUGUUUCAUAAAAGUUAUGCAAUUAUAGUUUCAUUUAAAAUCAGUAAUAGGCAAAAGUUUUUAAAAGAUUGGGUGGUUAAAUUAAAAUGGGCAAAAGUUUAGGUAAAAUUCUAUACAUUUUUUACCUUAUUAUGAGCGAGUCCUUAGCUUGUUUUUCGCGUGUUCAAUGAAAUAAACAACAUUAAUUAAUUUAAAAUUCUUCAAAUUAAGAGUAUAAAUUGACUAAAAUUUGAACAAGAUAUACAUUGAGAGUUUAUCUCACGAGAUAACACUUGGUAUAUAUGAUGCAUGGAGAGGAUUUUUGCAUGCAUGGAAGAGAUAUAUAUGAAACACGUACGUAUAAUUUAAUGAUCAAAGUGAUUUUAUUAUUUCUCACUAAAUCUUUAAUUUUGUAUGCAUUAAAAAACAUGUAUUCGAACAAAAGAUUAAUCAUUAAUUACUGUUCAGUCGUAACUAAUUUUCUUAAGAAAUAAUUAAAUACAAGUGUUUCUAGACGUGACCUUUUCUUACUUAGUCAAUUUUAUAAUAUUUAAUGUGUGGUUAUUUAUGCAAUGCUAACUUCAAAAACUGUGGAUAAUAAUACCUUUGACAAGUCAAAAAUAUGACCAGGUUAUAUACAUCUUAAUAAAUGUUUUAACACGGAGUUAUUAAUGUGUUAGAGAAGAGUUCAAAUUAAUUUAAAAGAAUUAUUUGAUACGAUAAUUUAAAAGUAAGUUUUCAAGUAGCUAGAGUGUGCUUGGUUGAAAAAAAAAAUAAAAUAAAAAGAAAGUGCUUUUGUUGUAGCUAGAAGCAGAAACAUAACGAUCGAUCUGAGCCUCAAAAAUAGAAGUUUCAAAUUGAUACUUUUCGGUUUUAACAUAUUUAUGGUAAUUUAAUGUUGUAGUUUUUUAAAAAAUAAAACUACUCAGACGACGACACUUAAUUAAACAUCAUUACACGGUGGAGCAGAUCCAAACAAAUACUUAACUCUAAAUUUAAGAUUAAGAUACUUUAAGAUGUAUUUAUUUUAAUAAAACAAUAUAGACAAUAAUAUUUAAUUAAAUAUCAUUGUCUGACUUUUAGCAAUUAAUUACUGCCAUAAAAAAUAUUUUUAAUAAAGUAUUAAUGGCCAUACUUUUAGUUCUGAAAUUUUAAGUCCCACAGUCAUAUUUAACUAAUAAAUAUUGAUGUGCUGCAUUUGUGCCAAAAAUAUAAUAAUGUAAUGAAUCACAAAAUCACAAAAUAAUAAUUAAGAUACAUUACUCCCACGUCAACGACAUAUUAGCCUCUAGCCAACUAAAAUAGGUUGCGGGAUUUUAUUCUAUCAAUUUCAGAAGUUCGACCCAGAGAUUGAAUUAAACAUAUUAAACUUUGAAGGGCAAAGCAUCAUGCCCUUCAUAGUUUGAGGACCAACAGUAAAAUCUAGCCCUACUUUUUAGAGAGACAGAGAAAGGUAGCAAGAUAUCUGCUUUGUUACUUUUUCGGUACUAACUAGUAAAUUCUUAGCCAACUGCGAUAGAUAUGAUUGAUAGUUUGGCAUAAAUUAAUGUUCGAUACCUCUAACGCUUAACGUUGUCGACAGUCUGGCGGUCCUUCGUGGAGCGUGUUGUUGGGAAGAAGAGAUAGCACGACGGCAAACCUGGCUAGCGCCAUGAACCUUCCGAGCCCCUUCGAUACCCUAAGCAAACUUCGGUCCAAGUUCUCCAAUGUCGGCCUCAGCGACACCGAUCUCGUCGCCUUGUCGGGUUAGUCGCUCCGCAAAAUCUCAAAAAUCAUACAUUUUUCUCGUCUUAUAUUAAAUUCUGAUCUUAUUUUGGUCUAUAAUUUAACAGGUGCCCACACAUUUGGUCGAGCACAAUGUCGGUUCUUCAACCAACGCCUGUACAACUUCAACAACACAGGCCGACCCGACCCGACCCUAGACACGACCUAUCUGGCUACGUUACAGCAGAGUUGCCCUAAAAAUGCAAACCUAAACGGAUUGAACAAUCUCGACCCGACCACGCCCAAUAAGUUCGAUAAAAACUACUACUCCAAUGUCGAGAACAAACGCGGCCUCCUCCAGUCCGACCAGGAGCUGCUCUCGUCGUCGGACGCGGCGUCGACCACCGCACCGAUCGUAAAUAGUUUCGCCAGCAGCAAGAGCACCUUCUUUCGCGCGUUCGCGACGUCGAUGAUCAACAUGGGGAAUAUAAGCCCGUUAACCGGGAGUCGAGGGGAGAUUAGAAGUAAUUGCAGAAAAAUAAAUGGAAGUUGAAGGAUUUUUACAAAAAAAAUUUUGCAUCGGUUGAAUAAGUUCAAAGGUGUGUGACAAAUUUAUUGUAUGUGUAAAAUGAAAAAUAUAAUUGUGUUCUCAAUGAGAGAGCAUAUGUGUACAACAAAUUAUUUGUUUCUCUUUUUUUUUUUUUUUAAUGAAAUAAAGAGGGGAGCUUUAAGUGCUCUUUGGAGUGUUAUGAACAAGUUAAUUGUAUGGAUCGAUACCAUUAAAUUUUAGGGGUUUAUUAUUAUUCAAAAUUUUUAAAUUAACCCACUGCAACAAAAACGGUCCAUAGCGACACUUUUAAAUGUAGGUACAUGUUAAAAAAGUGCUGCUAGCUAAAAUUACCGACACUUUUAAAAAGUGUUGCUAUAUGUGGGAUCGCUAGGUAUAUAGUGACAGUUAAAGAGUGUCGCUAUAACCUAAAAAAGUGCUGCUAAUUUACCAACACUUAUUUAAGCAUUUAGCAACCGCCAAAACUCUAUCUCGUUGGCUGCGGUAGCGGAGGAGGACGACAGUAAAGGCUCUUCCUCUAGAAUUUCAGUGGAUUGAGUGAAGAGAGAAGAAAAGAUGGUAAUUGAUUUUUCUUUUUUUUUUUUCUUUUCUGUUUGUAAUCGGACCAAAUGGACUAGGUGUGGUGAGUUGAGUUGAGUAAUCUUUUUUUUUUGGUUGGAUUGGGCUUUGUAUUUAGGCAUUAGUAGAUGUGUUUUUAAGUUUUAACAUAAAUGGGACACUUACUUAAAAGUGUUCCAAACAUGUGUCCCUAUAACCUAAUUCUGUUGUAGUGACCUUUUUAUUCUCAAAAGUUAAGUAAUUACUUACUCCACUAAAUUUAUGAUUUCGAAAAAUUACAUAAAAUAUAUUAAUUAUACUCAUAAAUAUAAAUAUAGUAUUCAAGUUUCUAAAUCAAUGUGCCGUUAACGGACUCCAGUCAAAUAAAUUGAAAGAUUAGAUAAUAAAAUUAAAAUUUUAAAAGAUUAAAUGGCCCAUUCAAAAUGAUCUAUAAUUCAAAUAAUUAAAAUUCAAGAUUUUAAUUUUACUAUCAAAUCUUUCAAUUUAUUUGAUUUGAAUCAAUCAGCGGCACUUUAGCUUCAAAAUUUUAAUUCGUCAUUUAUCUUCAAUAGAUUCAUUUAGUAUAUUUUAUAUAAUUUUCACAACUAUAAGUCUGUUAAAUAAAUAAUUAACUUAAAUUUUUAAGUCAAAGUACCAUUGACCAAUUAAAAUCAAACAAAUUUAAAAUUUUGAAAAAUUGGAUAGGCAAAUCCAAAUGAUCCAUGAUAAGUUUCGUACUUUUUACCUAAAAUUUGUUCUUUAUAUAAAGAGUAAACUUCAAAUGCCACCAUUGUGGUUUCGCACUUUUUCACUUUAGUACCCUGUGGUUUAAAUUAUAUCAAGUUAAUAUCUUGUGGUUUUAUUUUUCUCUUUUCGUCAGCUCCUCCGUUAAUAUUUCGUUAAAUUAUAUAUAAAAAACUUUAUAUAUCCACCUAGGUUUAUCGAAUUUUCAUUUUAGUACCCUUUAGUUUUAACUUUGUCACUGAUUUAACGAAAAAGAAAUGGUGAAAUGGAUAAUAAAAAGAAAAAAAUGAAAUCACAGGGUACUAAAUUGAUACACAAAUCAUAGGGUACCAAAAUAAGAAAGUGUGAAACCACAUAGGUGGUAUUUGAAAUUUUCUCUUGUAUAAAAGAACUAAAGAAAAAUUGUUAAAAAUUUAGGGACAAUUAGUGUGGAAAUAGAGAUGUCAACGGGUCAGAUUCGGGACGGAUUUUUAAAAAUUCGAAUCCGAACCCGACUUCAAACCCGAGACCCGCACCCUAACCCGAGCUCGACAGAUUUAAAAAUUCAUAUCCAAACCCGAAUCCGACCAAAAUUCUAAAACCCAAACCCGAAAAUUUGAACACGAAACAAUUAUUUCUUUUUUCAAUAUUUCAAAAUAUAUUAUAUUAAAUCUAAAUUUUUAAAAUACAAAUUCAAAAAUAACAUCAAUUAUUAUAUAUAUAUAUAUAUAUUAUAUAUUAUAUAAUAUAUAUAUAUUUUAUAUAUAUUAUAUAUAUAUGAUAUAUAUAGUAUAAUACCAAAUAAAUUCGGUAUUCGGGUUCGGCGUUCGGGUUGGGUACAGUCAAAAUCUAUCCGUGGAAUUUCUAUUUUUAAUAUCCAUAUCGAAUCGCAUACCAUUUAAUUAGCUAUCGAAAAUAUCCGUUUCUAUUCGGGUUCUGGUUCGGAUAAAAUUUCAGGAUAUUCCAUACCCAUUAAACAUUUCCUAUGCGGAAAUGAAAAUUUUAGGACCAAAAAGACAUUUCUUUUGAAUGUCUGGGGCUAUGUGGCAAUUUACCACCUUCUUCGUUUACCGUGAGAUAAAGUGCGGUUAAAUCCAAACCCAAAAAGAAGAGAAGAAAGAAAAUGAAAAAUCUCACGCGCAAUGUCGACCUCCGCGGCCCCUCGAACCGUCGCCGCCCGCCUCCCUUCCUCUCUCUCCGUCUCAUCCCCACCAACCAUACCUCUCUCCUCCCCAUCUCCCUCCCCUCCCACCCGCGCUCCUUCUCCCUCUCCUCUCUCCGAAACCCUAUGCUCCCCUUCCCCCCCUCCCCCUUCCUCCCCCGCCGCCGCCGCCGCAGCUCUACCCCGUCGCAGUCGCCGUCGCCGCCGGUUCCCACCACCGCGCCCUCUGCGGCAUCGGCUUCCCCCCGAAGCCCUCCUCCCGCGCGCCGCCGCCGCCCCUGGACCAAUCCGUCACCGUCGCCAACCCCGCCGGGUACAUCCCCAACGCGAGCCCCACCGCCGUCAUGAACCUCCCCGGCGCCGCCGCCGCCCCCCAGGCCCGGCCCUUCGUGUACGGCGUCCCCGAUCACGCGGCGGCGCACGCGAUGAGGCCGCCGCCGAUGCAGGCGCAGCAGCCCCUGCCGCCGCUCGCCAUAGCUAGGCCAGUCGCGGCCGCUGGAGGAGGCGGCAGCGGCGUGGUCUCGCUUGCGGUGCCUCCGAAGGGCGUUCCUGCUGCUGCUCAUUCUAAGGUCUCUUCUUUUCUUUCAACUCUCUCUUUCAUUAGAUUCAGUUAAUAAAGCCGUAAAAAACGUAUAAAACUUUUCUCUACUAUAGGCUAUUUGAUUUGACUACCCAACCUUUCAAAAUUUCAAUUUUAGUACCCAAAUAAUUCGGCAGUUCUUCGGAUACAGAAUUUAAACUAAUUGUUUACUUUAAUAAAUUUAUAGUUAUGUAAAUUAUAUAAAGCAUACUGUGUAAACCCGUGAAGAUUAAUGAGGCAUUCAAAAUUUGAAGAUAAAGAGUCACUAAUUGGAUCAAAUUAAAUAAAUUAAAAGGUCAGAUAGUAAAAAUCAAAAUUUUAAAGAUUAGAUAGUCAAAUUCAAAUGGUGGGUGAUGGUUGAGGUAAGCUUUAUACAUUUUCACCUAACAAAGAUUGAACUUGAAUGAGAUGUUUGAGGACUCUGUCUUAUGUUAAUCUUGUGGUAGCUUUUUCUGAUUCUGCACUUCAAAUAGUCUUAAAGAUUGUUUCUUUCUUAGUUUUUCGGUUGGGAAAGGGAGAGAGGUGUAUUUCAGUAAUGAAAUGUUAUAGGGGAAAAUAUCAUGGUGAAUGUAUGUGCUUUCUUUGUAAAUUUUCAAUUAUUCAUCUACGUUAGGAAUUUGGACUUUUGUAGGGGAAUGAUAAGCCUAAGUUUCACUACUUCUCGGUGUAUUUCAUUAUGAUAGGAUUCAAUUCUACACAAGUAAUUGUAGAUUUUCUCUCCUUAUUGUAUUAGAUACUUUCCAGGAGAGUGGAUAUAUAUGUUUUUUUGCAGGGUGAAAAAUAAUGAAAGUACUAGGUUUCCAAGAAUGCAUGGUUGUGUGUUUUUUUUUCCUUUUGUUUUUUUUUGAGUUAACAAUGUCUUGUUCCUUUCCAUUUUAUUUGUUUCACAGAUCAUUUUGUUGAGAUAAAUUCUUUUGUAUGUCUAACUUGCUUAGGUUUGCUCGUUGCCAACCGUAUCUUCAGCUCAUGAUUAUGGCAACUCUAAGGAGAGGUAAUAUGCAAGAUCCAACAUUGGUCUACUCGGUUGAAUUUUCUUAUUGGACAUAGGCACUUAUGUGUGUCAAACUUCUUGCAGGGAUAGGAGCGGAGAAGAUACUCUGAUGACAAUUCACAGCCGAAAAGUAAGUAAAUCAUUACAAGUUUCCGAAGUUUUGAAAGUUAGAGUUGGGAUAACAAUGCAUGGAAUAAGCUAAUUAUGCUUCUUGGAAAUUGUUUGACCAGAUUUAGGCCUAACUAGGUAAUGCAGUAGCCAUGCAACACCCUCUUUAAUGCUUUAGAGGGUUCAAAAAGUUCAGGAGUGCUUUGGAACUUACCUCCUCAAAUGCUAUAAAACGAUGGUGGGAAUUGGGAAACACCAUCGGCUGAUGCUUCUCCGAUAGCAGUUCCCACCAGCAUUUUUUAGCAUCAGAGUAGGGAAGCUUGCGCUUCCAAAACUUUUUCGGUCCUCUCAUGUAUCAAAGCAACCAGAUUUGAAGCAUUCCCAAACUAGGCACUAGUCGGCAGAUGUUCUUAAGAUGGUUGAAAGUGAUGAACAGAUUUAAUCCUCUAUAUCACAAAGGAUCCUGAUAUUCUCUAUGCAGACAUUCCUAUUUUACAUAGAGGAAGUUUGUCCAGAAUUUGGACGUUUAUGAAGAAACAUGCUUGGUAACUUUAUGCAUGGUGACAUCUUAAAUGAAGGGGAGAAUAUUUUCUUAAAAUCUUUAAUAGGUGGAAUUUUCAAUAUCAUAUGGGGAAAUAUAAUCUACAUUGGAAGAGAAAUUAGUAAAUGUUAAACAAGGUAUGGUUGGGUUAGUUUUUUUCCGGAUUUGGAGUCUAGGAUGGUGAAAUAUCUAUAGUCUUCAUGAACUUGCUUUUAUUAGUUGUGAAUGUUGUGCAUGAGAUAACUUUACUGGCGAUUUAAACUGAAGUGGUGGCAAAAGUUCGCAGUGCCAGAGAAGGAAGUCAAACAGAAAUGAAACAAGUUAAGAGAGGAAAUGGGAAAGGGCACGGGCAUGCUUUAUAUCAAUUUAUUUUUUACAGCACUAAUAGAUGAAAGAUAUGUUGACUAAAACUGUCUGAUACAAGUCUUAAACUGUUUCUUUCAGUAGAUUUUUGUUAUAUUUUGACAUAGAUAGUGGAUGAAGGGUGUUUUAAGCCAUUUUACUAAUGGUUAUGCUUUCAGGGAUAUUAUGAACAAGCCAUGGUACUAUAUACAGUAUUAAACGUGUGAUAAAGACCUUCUAUCCUGGUUGACCAAACCAAAGCCUACUUUUGUGACAACAUCGUAUAGAUAUUUUUCUGUCGUACAAGGGAAGGAUGUUUAGCCAUUACCUUUCACAAUUAGUUAUCCAAGCUAGCUGACAGAAUGUUACUUUUGUUUUUUCAUCUUCGAAUGAAGUUUUUCACUGAAAAUGCUCACAUGACAUUCUUUACAUUACAAGCAUUUAAUGUUGCACCUUGUCAUAUGAAAUCUAUUAUUUUAAUCAAGUCAGUUUACUUGCCUGUGAGAAAAUAAAACUUGUGUGUAUACACUUCAUUUGUUGGCUAACACUUACGGAAACUUCUCUUGUCAAAUAUGUCAAAAUGUUCUUUAUUGAUACUUUUUGUUGUUUAUACCUCAUGAUUUUAUUGCGGUUUUGAAGGUCCGGAUUUUGGAUAGCGAGUCACCCUCCUUAUAUUCCCUUUGUCGAGCUUGGCUACGAAAUAGUGUGCCGCAUGAGAGUCAGGUUCGUACACACCUUUUUUGUAUUUGAGACUUGGUUACCAUGUCAAGGACCAAACUUCUGUUGAACUCCUGUUGUUCCUGCAUUCCAUCUUUCUGUUUCAGUAAAAUCUUGGUAUGGCAGAUGCUAUUUGGUAGUUCUGGAAAACGUUAAGAUCUCUUUAUUUUGAAGUUAGAAUCACCCUAAGUCUGAACCAUAUGUCCACUGCCAGUAAGGAUUUUUCUGCACCAUCUGUAUGUUGCUUGGUUGUCUUGCCUUCUGAGAUUUGAAACCAGCUGUAUAUACUACAUCACAAAAUAGUAUUUGAUAUUGCUUUUACAAUAUUUAUUUUCUCAUCAGAUCAACAAAAGAAAUAGAAAAUUGCAAAGAUUGGAAAAUUCUUAUUAGUAACAGAGGAUGUGAGAUCAGAUAAAUCAAUUAUUAUGAUUGUUUAGUUGAGGAACAAUAAAUGGUCAAAACAGCAAGAGAAUUGAACAAAUAAGUAGUUUUGAAAAAUGUUGCCAGUAACAGAGGCUGUGGGAUCGGAGAAAUCAAUUAUUUAAGACAAAUUGUUGCUGAGCACAGCAACAGUGAAUUCCUUUCACAUCUACGAGGGACAUCUCUAUUGAUUCUUGUAGUUAUAAUAAAGCAUAGGUAUAUUUGAAGCCCAAAUAUGCCCCUUUAAGUGGAUAAUAACUGUUGACUAUCCAUCUGAGUGCUAAAAUGUAUUGUUUCCUUUAUUGGGAGCCAGGCAUGAUAGGCGUAGUCGAUUUUUGAAGGAUCUUGUUGAGUUGACCAAGUGCUGAGCUAAUUCAUGAAAUAACCGAUUUGAAACUGCUUCGACUUGUCAUUUCUGAUGUCAUUACUUCCUAAUGCAGUUUCUUUGGCAUGUCUGGAAUUUGAUUUCCUUUUGACUGAUUCUACAUAUUAAUGCAGAUAUUUGUCUUCCACAGUUUGGCUUUGAGUUUUUGGUCUGAACGUGAACGAGCUGUGGUGUCAUAAUCGCUACUUGCUUUCGUUGUAUUAGCUACAGAGUACAUGAAACACUCUCGAGCUCUGGUGUCAUAAUCCCUACUCACUUUCGUUGUAUUAGCUACAGAGUACAUGAACACUCUCGAGCUGUGGUGUCGUAAUCCCUGCUCACUUUUGUUGUGUUAGCUACAGACUACAUGAAACAGUCUCCCAUCAAGGCCUUAUUCUUCUCGCUUGUGUCCUUCAACUGAACUAACAAGCUAUUGCCCAAGUCCACCAGCACAACUCCCCUCCCGACNACAGACUACAUGAAACAGUCUCCCAUCAAGGCCUUAUUCUUCUCGCUUGUGUCCUUCAACUGAACUAACAAGCUAUUGCCCAAGUCCACCAGCACCACUCAUCUGCUUUUUUAACCUUUGCAGCCGGUCAUAAUGGAGUCAACUUGAUCGGCAAUUAUUAUCAGUGGCCUGGACAUAUUACUGUACAGCUCUUCCCACCUUCCUGUAUUUUGCAUGGCCUUCGCUUCAAUCAGAGUCAACAAAGCCAAUUGUCUUUCCUAACUUUACAUAAUUUGUUACUCUGUGUUUAAUUUUUAUUAUUCAGGACUGAUGGCUCUCUUAUCGUUUCGUUUUCCAUUCUAUUUGUGACUAAUUCGUUUGUUCAUUUUCAGCCAAAUAUUGGAAACAGUGUUGAGCUUCCAAAACCCUUGCCUGCUUCUAUGAUUGACGCUAGCAUAUUGAGGGACGAUGCAAAUGGCGAUAAGGAUGACGAAAGCAAUGUAAGAGGUUCAUUUUCAAUAUUGAUUUGCCAUCUUAAUUGUAUUAAUAUCUCGUUUUGAUUUCAUACAUGCGGUAGUAUGCCGACAGGCACGAAGAUAAUAGAUUAUUUCAUUGCAGUAAUCUCAUCUUUUCUUCUUAUACCAUGACAAAUUCUAGAAGAUACUAAUGUUUUCUAAAUUUGUAUUUUUCGGGUCAUAUAUGUGAAAUGUGUGAUUAUUCUAUUUCCUCUUGCAGCAUGUACGCUCUGCCGAAGAGUUAUCCACACAAGAUUUACUAAAUGAGCACAUAAAGCGUGGUAAAAAGAUUCGUGCUCGGUGAGUUCCAAUUUCUUUCUAUGGUAUAAUUAUUUAUUGAGCUGCAUACGAGUCAAUAAGAAAAAGUAUGCCAUUAGAUUUAAUAAUUAUAAACUUGAUUUUCGAAGAAACAAUUUUGUUUUCGAAGACUCAUUUUUUGCUUGUUAUGUUUGUUAUAUCAGAUUAUUAAUCGCAAUCAUAAAAGAAGGGAUCGAGUAUAAUGAGUUCCAAUCUACGGUUCUGCAGGUUGAGCAAAGAGCGCCGACUACGGAUCGAGAGGUACAGAGAAAGGCUCACCCUCCUCCUCCCUCCGAACCUUGAGACAGCGCGACACGAAACUGAGUAACUUCGCCUGCUUUUAAUCGCAUAAUCCGUGAAUUUAAACAAUUCUAACAAGAAAAAUAAGGGCUUGUACAGAGCAAUUUAUAGGUUAGGAUUUGUAGGAUGCACUUGUAUAUCCAAUGCUUGAUGUUCCUUUGUUCUUUCGCAGCAUCUGCUGCAUAGUGUUAAUUAGUUUCUACUUUCUGAGCUCCUAGUGGAGUGUAAAUGUUGCAUGUUUGAAGUGAUUCAUCAUCAUAGAGAGAAGGAUCAAAUCUUUUUUUUUUCUGAGUUUGAGCACAGGGUUUCUCUAUGAUCUUACCAUUUUGAAUAUGCAAUAUUUUAACAUGCAUGAAGUGUUUAGAAAUGUGAAUGAUUUAUUAUUAUUAUUAUUUUUAGCAUCAGUUUGAGUUGUUUAACAUCUGAGAUGAGAUCAUGUAGCUACAGCAACCCUUUGAUAUUUACUAGCUUAUCGUUUGCAAAAAUGUAUGAAGACCCCCUCACGUAUAUGCUCGUUAGGACUAGGCCCUUCAACUGUUUUUUUUUUUUUUUAUGGGUAAACUUCAAAUACCACCCCUAUGUUUUGCACUCUCUCACUUUCGUACCAUAUGGUUUAAAGUGUAUCAAGUUAGUAUUUUGUAGCUUUUUUUUUAUUUGUCAGCUCCUCUGUUAAUAUUUCGUUAAAUUAUAUAUAAAAAACUUCAAAUACCUCAUCUAGAUUUAUCGAAUAUUUACUUUAAUACUCUUUAGUUUUAACUUUAUCACUGAUUUAAUAAAAAAAAAUUAGUAGAAUGAAUAAUAAAAAGAGAAAGGUAAAAUCACAGGGUAUUAAAUUGAUAUAUUUUAAAUCACAUAAUUUUGAAGUGAGAAAGUGUAAAACUACAUGGUGGUAUUUAAAGUUUUUUUUUUUUUUAAUUCACAUCCGCUCAACUGCUUCUUUACAAAUUAAAUAAUUUUAGUUUAAAAAGAGUUUUUUUUCUUUCAAACUCAUAUUACUGUUCAUAUCACAUUAAAUAAUUUUAAUUAGUUUUUAAUAAUAAAAUUUAGAGUAAUUAAAUUUUAUAAAAUUUCUAACAAUUAGUAUUAGAACAUUAGGGCUACUAAUCAAAAAAAUUAAAAGGUCAGGGGUCUAUUCUGAAUGGCCAUAGUUGAAGGGCAUGUAUUUUUACCAAAAAAUAAUAAUAAUAAUAAUAAACUCUAAUUUUUGUUUAAAUUAGUUUUAGUUUCAGAUCAAAUAGUGAAAGAAAAAUUAUUUUUAUUUAAACUUUAAUAAAUACAUUUAGGGGCCCUUUGAUUGGAUGUAAUUAUAAAUGCAGUGUAGUUAAAGAUGCAUGCGGUUGAAAAUACAGCAAUUAUAAAUACAUGAAUCUUAUUUGGUUGGAUGUAGUAGAAAGCGCUGCAAGUAUAAAUAAUUUAUUUGGUUGCAUGCAAUUGAAAAAUAAUUUUUAAAAUUUUAUUAUUUUAUAUAUAUGAUGGUGAGAUUACCUCCAAUGUAAAAAAAGAAAAAAAAAAUUUGUUUAAAAAAUAUUGAAAAAGGUAAGCAUACCUUUUAUUUAAAAUUACUCACUCCAAUUGCUGUAGUUGGAACUGCGGUCAAUUAGGGUGUAGUUUGAACUGCAUUGUAGCAGUUGGAGUUAAAUAUAUCAAACCAAUCACGAAAUUUGUAUUUACAUAUAGUUACAACUGCAGUACAGUUACAACUACAUGCAACCAAACCAAACGGCCCCUAAAUGUAGCAGCUCUUCCCUGUUCAUACCGAGCUCCCUCUCUCUCUCUCUCUCUCUCUCUCUCUCUCUCUCGCCAUGUCUCCUCUUUCCGUCUCUUCGCUCUCCUCCUCCUCCAUUCCCACCAUUCCCAAAACCCUAACCCUAACCCCGACCCACCCUCUUCCCCGUCGCCUCCGAUUCAAACACCUACUCCCUCCACGCCGCCCCCUCUCCCUCUCCUCCCCUUCCUCCUACUCCCCUCUCCCCCUCAUCUCCGCCACCUCCUCCUCCAUCCCCGUCGAGGACCUCGUCGAGAGCGACUGGUCCUUCCUCGACCCCCCGGACGACGCCCUGGUGGAGUCCGCGGGCCCCUGCGAGCUCCUCGUCGCCGUCCACGAGUCGCUCUUCGCGCUCGCGAUGAUCAAGGAGGCCCACGAUCGCGUCCGGUGUUGGCAGGGCGGCGCCGCCGCCGUGCCGGAGAAGUUCGCCCCGUUCGACGCCGUGUUCGUUUGCUACUUCCCCGGGAUGGGGCUUUCUAUCGCAGAGCUCUUGGAAUCUCUCGCUCCGCGAUGUUCUCCAGGUUUAGAUUCGUCCUCUUCUUUCUCCUUCCUUGUUAAAUCUGCUUCUGCUUCUGCUUUUAGCAACAGCAUCAUCUAGUCGAGCUUUUGGUGACCAAAAUUUAUCUGAUACUUCUGCUGUACUUGGAAUUAAAGCUGAGAUUCUGAGAUCCAAAAAUAGAAACAUCAAUUUUGUGCUUCUACUUCUUUAGGAGAGAUUAUAUUAGAGGCACUUUAGUAUAACACUUUCCUAUUCAAACACCACUACACCCUUAAGUAGGGCUUGUUUGUCCUAGCUUCUGAAACAACUUAUCUACUCUAAGAAUUUAGGUUGUGGCCAGAAGCUUCUGGCCUGAAAAAUUUUAGAAAAAAAAAUAUUGUUGUGUUUUUUUUUCGAAUAGCUCUACUUCUAACUCCUUUGAAGUUUGUUUCUUUAGUUCAUGUUGUUGGAAUUAGGAAACAGUGAAAAUUUACAAACUAGAUAGCUAACGUAUUCAGAAACCGAAAUUGGAUUGGCUUGCUUGUUUACUAGCCGAGCAGUUCGAUCCUCCUUAAAUCACUUAUUAUAGACCAAUCUUUCAUGAUGGAGUUGUGCAUUAGUGCCUUCCGGAGGUACAGCUAUUUUGACUGAGAGGUUUUCAAGAACACCUUGUUUGUUUGCUAGUAAAUGAGUGUUAGUUCAAGUUAAUUGUAAUGGGAGUAGUCUUCGGUUGUAGAAAACAGCAAUCUUGUAGGUGAUUGUUAUUGCUGGCGCUGGGCGGAGUAAAUAUACGUGGUUAAUUGUUGAAUGUUGUUAGUGAUAGGGAUAAAGAAUCCUGUAAUGGGAUAUCACUUGCGAGAUUGAUGUUCCUUUUUCUGGGAAGAGAAUAGUAAGAGGAGUGAAAAGGAGAAAAACCGGAACAGCAAGAGGGCAUGGAUCAUCGACUCAAAAGCAUUGGUUUUGAAAUGGAAGUAGUUAGGGUUUGAUACUUCGGGAAAUACCUUUAUCUAUCUCUUCCUCUGUGAUUAUGAAUGUAUCCGUGUACUCGGAGAGUAUUUCAGGGCAAUAAUUUUGACCUUUUAUCUGUUGGAUGCCGCAUUGCAAUUCAAGGACGUGUCGAUUACGGAUCGGUUACUUGUGGCAGGCAUUGAGGUUCUUGCUUAUGCCCGCUAUUUGCGAUGUGCAUCCAAUGGAUUAAAAGUUGGAAGUAUUUGCCCUCAAAUUAGAAUUCUAUAUCAAAUUUUUGGGUGAUAUCAUUAUAACUUCUCUGAAGUAAAUUAAUCGGUGUUAGCUUUUCAGGACACUAUAUGAUUAUAGAACUGCCAAACUUCAACCGUAUUUCCGUUGCUACAUGACUAAAUUGCAAAUGACUUGACAGCAACCAACCCUUUCAAUUCGAUUAUACAUUUUUUAUUUUGCUUUUGACGAUUUCUUAUGCUGUUGUUAAGGUGCGAGAGUAGUCAUCUGCUUCGAUCAAGGGAGGCAGGUUGUCGAACAACAUUGGCAACAGUAUCCCGACAUGGUAACCGCCGACUUGCCUGACAAAGCUCUUCUGGAGAAGGCCGCAACGGAGAAUUCGUACCAGAUAACGGAAUUCGUCGAUGAGCCUAACUUCUACCUUGCUGUGUUAAGAUGUCAGAAAUAAGGAUUUUCAGUUCUGCAACAAGUGGUAACAAAGUUUUCUUUCUGGUGUAAAAAAGCAAAUACAAUUUUUUGUGUGCUUCCUUUUCCAGUUCCAUGCCAAUAUAAAUAUUGUUCGAGCAUGCUUGCAUAUGAAUCUUUUCUAAUGAUUUCUCAUUUGAUUCCGGAGUAGGAACAUAGACUAAUCAUUUUGAGUCGAUUAUUCAACCUUUUAAAAUUUCAACUUUAUUAUCCAGUCUUUCAAUUUGUUUGAUUUUACUGACUUUAAAAUUUGAGCUAAUUGCGUAUUUUAAUAAAUUUGAAAUUCUAAGAAUAGAAUGAAAUGUACUAACGUAUUCAAAUUUUAAAGUCAAAAUGUCAUUGACUGUCUCAAAUCAAACAGAUUGAAAGGUUGGAUAAUAAAAUUAAAAUUUUGAAAGAUUAGAUAGUCGACUCAAAAUGAUCUAUAGUUUAUGUAAGUUCUGUACGUUUUUAAAAAACGGAUUACCAAACGCUCUCGCAGCAAAAAUUAUUUUUGGACUUAAAAUUAUUUUCCAGAAUCUGGGCUAAACACCUCCUUCCUACAUCUUGAUUUUCCCUUUAAAUGAUGUAGAAGAUUACAGGGACCUAAUUUUUGUUUUUCAAAGCAGGAGAGACAUGAAAUUAUGAACCCUUUUUAUUUUAAUGGGAAGAAAGAGUGGAAAAGAGUUGUGAAGUUGUGCAAGUAACUUGCCCUAGAUUGGGAGGAUUCUAUUUCCUUAUCUAAUUAUUAUUUUGGAAAAAUUAGUUGGGGCAAUUGCUUAUAUAUACUUCUGAAAAUUUUUCAACUUUCUUAGUAUUAUUAAAAAUAUAUUUCUAGAGUUAAAUUCUCUUAGUAAAAAUCUUAGGAACAGCCAUUAAUUUUAGAAAAUCUCACCGACAGUCCCUAUAGCAAGUGACAAAGGGCUUGGUGGUUGGUACCCGAGACCCAAGUUUGAGUUCUAGUUGAUUCAUAUUUUCAGCUAAAUUUAUUUCUAAAUGAAAUAAACGAAGUGGAUAGCGUGCUACCUAACUCUCUCCUAAUGCAAUUGAACCCCUUAAUAUAAUAAUAUAUAGUAAGUAUAGGGCGAUACCACAUCAUUUAAACAAUAACUAAAAAAAAAAAAAAAAAAAAAAAAAGUUUCAUUUUGCUUUUUUAAAUAUACUUUUCUAUCAUCACUUUAUUUACCCAUAGGUUAGGAACAAAAGAAGUAUUUUAACUUUUUCACUUUUCAAAUAUAUUAUUUUUUUGCUCCAAUUUUCUUAUUUGCCCUUAAGUUAGGGACAAAAUAGGUAUUUUAAUUAGUUUUUAACUAAGGUAGAAAUUUAACUCAGAUUUAACCUGAAUUGACUUAACGGGCACUAAUAGCAGGAAUAUUUUUGAAUAACAGAGAAAUAUAUAAGAGGUACAUUUGAAACAAAAAAAAAAGAAAUAAAUAAAAUAUUUCAGAGGUUUUGAGAGGUAUGUCGGCAAUUAUUCCAAAUUAAUUUGUGCAACUUGCUUAAGAAUUAUAUUUUCCUUUCAUCACCUUAUUUAAGCAAAAAAAAAAGAAAAAAAAAAAAGCAAGGAAAUAAAAUUUAAAAAAGCAAAAUUUAACACGUCGCCUGAGAGAUUCGAACUCUCGCGGGGAAACCCCAUGUACUUAGCAGGCACACGCCUUAACCACUCGGCCAAAGCGACGGUUGAUACUUUAGUAUUUAUAUAUUUUGAAUUUAACAUAAUAUAUUAUAUACCUUUUAGUAUUUUAAACCCCUCAACACUUAUAAAAAUAUCAUAUAUAUAUAUAUAUAUAUAUANAAAUUGUAGGAUUAGAAUGAUAUUAGUCCCCUAGGGUUGAGUGGUCCCUACUGGGUUAUAUAUAAUAUUUAAUCCAAUGGUUAGAAAUGAUGAAAGGAGUUGAGCUAAAAGUUAAAAACUUGAUAGCAAAAGGCCCAUUUUGCUAUCAAGUUUUUAACCCUUUGAUGAGAAAUUGUAGGAUUAGAAUGAUAUUAGUCCCCUAGGGUUGAGUGGUCCCUACUGGGUUAUAUAUAAUAUUUAAUCCAAUGGUUAGAAAUGAUUAUAGGAAUUGAUCCAAAGGCUAAAAACUUGAUAGCAAAAAGGAUCUUUUACUAUCAAUAGUAUUCUAGCCCAACUCUAUAUACAUAUAUAUAUAUAUAUAUAUAUAUAUAUAUAUAUAUAUAUAUGUAUAGGCUGGGGCUACUAUACUCUUAUGAAUAUAGACCCCUUGUACUCAUAAAUUUUUAACCGUUGAUUAAUAGGAUGUGUGGUUAGGAUGAUGGUGGUCCCCAUUUAGAAUGAUAGUGGUCCCCUAGGGUUGAGUAGGUAGUUGGUUGAAUAGUAUGAUCUAAUGAGUGGAAAUGAUUAAAGGAAUAAAUCUAAAGGCUGAAAACUUAUGAGUAUAAGAGAGCCAAUACUCAUAAAAGUAUAGUAGCCGGACUCUAUAUAUAUAUAUAUAUAUAUCCCCCAACUUAUUUUUUUCAAAUAAAUCCACCGUAUAUUUCUCCAUUAUUCAUUCAAAAAUAACCCCGCUGUUAAUACCCGUUAAGUCAUCUCAGGUUAUAUUUUUACAAAGUUACAAAAAAAAUCAAAAUACGUCUUUCGUCCCAAACUUAAGGCGAAUAAGAAAAGUUUGUGAUCGUAGCAGAGUAUAUUUGAAAAGUCAAAAAAUUAAAAUGCCUCUUUUGUCCCAAAAUUAAGAACAAAUAAGAAAAGUCGGUGAAGGCUUGAAAUUGCAAAAUAGUAUUUUCACAGAAAUAACGAUUAUUGUUAACCAUUAACUGAAAGAAUUUAAUUUUAGAGAUAUAAUUGAAAGAAUUUGAGACGUUAAAAAAAGUAUUUUUAACAUUAGCCUUCUAGGCAGGCUAAAUAAAAAGGUCAAAUUGUUUCAAAAGUAUGUAUUUAAGCAAUUAUCCUUUAGGGAUUGUUUGGUUCCACUAAAACUGUGACACCCCAUUAGUCCCACAUCGGAUAGGAAUGGAAUUAUCAUUAGAUAUGUAAGAGAACUCACGUCUAAUAACAAUAAUUGGACUUAAGUAUUUUGGGCCGGUGGUUUAAGCCCAAUGAGUUAUUGUUGCUAAAAAUCAGCCUCUUGAGCCGCGCAUUUUUUAGCAUAGUUUUUGUUUUCCGCCCUCUGUCCGCGGAAAGCGAAAACUUGUUGUUUUCAGAGAAUCUACAAAAUAAUCUUCCAAAAAAGUUUUUUAAAGAAGUUUUACAGGGAUCUAAAGAUUCUAAACACACCCUUACUGAAAUUUUUUUUGUAGUUUAUCCUUAAAAAAAAAAAAGGUAAACUUUAAAUACCACCCUUGUGGUUUCGCACUUUCUCACUUUAGUACCAUGUGGUUUAAAGUGUAUCAAGUUAGUGUCCUGUGAUUUUAUUUUUAUUUUUUCGUCAGCUUUUUCGUUAAUAUUUUAUUAAAUUAUAUUAAAAAAACUUCAGAUACCCUACCUAGGUUUAUUGAAUAUUCGCUUUAGUACCAUUUAGCUUUAACUUUGUCACUGAUUUAACAAACAAAAUUAGUGAGAUCAAUAAUAAAAAGAUAAAAAUGAAACCAUAUAACACUAAAUUCAUACACUUUAAAUUAUAGGAUAUUAAAAUGAGAAAAUGUAAAACUACAGAGAUGUUAUUCGAAGUUUUUCCAAAAAAAAAAAAAAAUUGAGUAACUGCAGUGAAAAGUAAGCAAAGUCAACACCAAAAACGCACACAGAAUCUAAAAUUUGAAAAUGUACGUCCCCGCCCUGGAACAAAUUAUUGCAUGCACCGGGUCCACCAUCCAAGACCACAAUAGAGGUAAAAGUGAACGGAGACCCCUUAACUAUAGUCGGUUCUGAAAUUGGUUCUCGACUAAUUACAGUUUUUUGAUUGAGACUACCUUAACUUUUUUUUUUUGAAUUAGUUAAUUUUAGAAAUUAAAUUAAAAAUAGUAUUAAAUUCAUUAGCGAUUUAAACAAAUUUAGUAAUUUAAAUUAUUAUUAAUAAAUAAAAUUAGAGUAAUUCUUGGCUAAUAUAUCGUAUAAUUUUAAAAUUUAGUUGGCCUUUUGACUUAGUUGAUCGAACUAACUCAAAGAAAACAAAAAAAAAAUAUUGAAUAGGUGUUAAUAAAAAAAAUAUUGUUGUUAAGGAUCUGGGCUGUGUGUUUGUGCAAUAUUUUAGUAGUUUAAUAAAUAGGAAUAAUGGUGAAAGAUGCGGGGCGUUUAAUGAGCGAAUUAUGUUUGGAAAGAGAUAAACGUUUUGGUAUUUCCAAAAUUCGGUUGAGUUUAUUGGAUUCAAUUAUCAAAUGGGAUUUCAGUAGAAAUUAUUAUGAUACAGUUUUUAAAUAAAAUUUGAGCUCAUCAAGAAAGCUUAGAUUUUGGUUUGGGGUGCCGAGGCUAUAAAUACCACACAUACGAACAGAAACACGAUUUGUUUUCACAAAUAGACUAAUUUAAACCUUUUGAGGUAAUUUUAAGGUAGUAGUAGCUUUUUCAUUUCAUUCGAGAGUAAAGCAAUUUAGUUUAGAUAUUUUCAAUUUCAACCGAAAGUUCCAGAGUUACUUAUCUUCAGGCUAAUAACCACUUGAAUUCGAUAUUUCUAGUUCGAUAUAAUUUAAGCGGCUGAACAUAGCAUUAGUCAAGGAGUGAUAUUUUGGCCAUUUAGAGAUCUUGGCUAAAAACUUAGAUGUUUGGAGUUCUUUAAUUCAAGGCGAAGGCUAGCCGGAUCCAUCCGUCUAAGUUUCGUCAGAACUAAGCAGCCGAAUGUAAUAUGCUUUAAGAAGGUCAAGUCACAAUAGAGAACAAUUUGAGUCUCUAUAUGUUGUAACUUAUUUGCUUUUAAUCAGUAAAAUUUUCUUCGCUCCGUUGCCUCCUUUUUCUUCUUUCUUCUUGUUCUCUCUACUCAAGAAGUCGUCCUAGCACUACACCACAGCGCACACCAAAAGAAAGAUAGGAACAAAAAUAAAACAUAGUUAAAAAAUUUAGGGACCAAAUUUAAAUAUUAUAGCUUGAAUGUCACUAUACUAUACUGUAUUUUACGAACUUUUUUAUUUCCUACACUAAUUAUUUCUUUUUCAAAGACACCACUCAACAAUUCUUUCUUUACAGUUACUAUAAAUAAUAUGCCUAUACUUUUAUAUAAAAGAUGUAAUAAAAUACUGGUUAAAAGUGUCUUAGCAUAUAUUCAACUCAUCUCGACAUAAAAAAUAAUUAAAAAAGCUUGAUAAAAAUGAGUUUAUUAUAGAGAUUUAUUUUAUAUUUUGUCUAUUAUUUAACCAAUAUCUCUUAACAAUUUAGUGACAUUAUUAUGAAAAAAUAAAAUAGUACAAGAUAGAAAAUGAUAAAAUACAAUAAUAUAAUAAUGUGUUUGGAAAAAAAGUAUAAUGUAGCAAAGAAAAAUAAUACUAAAGUAUAAUAAAGUCAAACUUGUGAGAUCAAUAGUUUGUGGACCAAUUUAUCCUAAUACAACACAAUGAGUGUACGGCGUAUGAAGUGCUCGGAUACACCAGGUCCAUCCAAUUUUUUUUCUCCGACAUGGCGACGCUCGCUUCCGAUUGGUCCAACCGAAUCGUCGGACGUCAACGGCCGCAAAAACAUUACAUUCAAAUCCGGUUAAAUUUUCCCGUUAAUUCCGUUUCCCGCUCGAUUGCCCCCCCGUUCAAAAAUCACCCCCCACAAAACCCAUAAAGAGAAACCCCACCAUAUACGAUUCAAAACUCGUCCCCCACCAAAAACCCUAGCUCUCUCACCAACCCUAAACCCACCGAAACCCUUGCGCUCUCCCCACGCCUCCUAAUCCUAACCCCCCCGAUCCCCCCCGCCGACGACCUCGCCGGAGAUGACCACGGCGGCGGUGGAGCAGCGGGCGAGGCGCCGUCGCAAGCGGGAGGAGCCGGGGGCCGCGUCCGCCGCCGAUCCGGCCAGGGCGGGGGCCGAAGAGGCCGACCCGGAUGCGGAGGAGGCGGGAAGCGAUGCGGGAUCGAAGCGCAGAUCGGGGAAGAGGAGGCGGAAGGCGCCGGCGAAGAAGGAGGCGGUUGGCGACGAUGAGUGCGCGGAGGAGUUAGAUGAGGAGGAGAUGGAGGAGGAGGAGGAGCCACGAGAGGAGGAGCGGAGCGAGGCGCCGAAGAAGAGGGUGGCGCAACCUAGGAAGCAUAGAUCGGAUGAUGGCGACGAGGAUUCGGAAGUGUGCUUUGUUGGGGAUCCGAUACCGGAUGCGGAAGCAAAGGAGCGGUGGCCGGAGAGAUACAAGAAGAAGGUAAACAGCAAAGGAGCCACCUUUGUAUGUAUCUAUGUUGGAGGUGAAUCAUGUACGGUUCCUAAAUCUUUCUUCUUGUUAAUAGGUGUGGACCACUUUUGUUGUCAAUAAAAGGUAAAACUUUGGAGAAGAAAAGGAACAAUGCUGUUUCAGCUGAGAUGCAAUUUGGCUUAAAUUUUUCAUUUUUCUAACUGUUAUGUUCGAAGAUGGGUUUUGUAUGUUAUUGUAGGGGUGAUGAAGACGAAGAUUUGAAGGCAAGGUGCCAUUAUUUGAAAGCGAAGGUUGAUGGCAUUGUUUAUGACCUUGGGGACGAUGUAUACGUCAAGGUGAGUCGAUUAAUCAGCUGUGGUAUUUUUCGAUCGGUUCUGUUUCAUUGCGAUAUCAUUCUUUGUCUAUUGUACUAAUCCUUGUUUCUGUAGUUUGUAGUUGUAAGAAAUUGAUGUCGAUUGUGGUGAUGAUAUGUUAUAUUUUCCAAUCUUAUAUGCUCACUCCGAAUUUUUGGGAUCGAGCGGAGAAAUUUUGAAUGCAUUUAUAACAUGAUAUUCUUUUCCCCAUGAACAAGAUCCAAACCCAUCUUGCAUUUUGCGUCGCAUAAAUGCAGUAUCCAUGUUGCACUUUCCUGUUUGGUAUAUUGUACUUCAUUGCUGAAAGUCAUUUUGCUCACCCCAGUAAUAGUCUAUGGUGUUUAAGGCUUUUUGUGGAUAAUGCAUGGCAUUUAAGUAACUAAUUCCACAUAUGCGUCUAUAGAAAUCAAGAUCAUGCACCAAUUAAUAGUAGAUUGAACCAGUCAAGCAUUAAAAAAUAAUUCUAUUAACAAAAUCGAUGUUAGUUUAAAUAACUAUUAAGAGGUUCGUGCCUUGAUUCAAGCAAUAAACUCUUACUAAUAGUUUUGGCUGCCAAUAAGUUGGAUUCUUUGUUCACUGUUUAACAUGCUGGAUCAGUUCUUAUAAUUUGACUUUAAUUUGUGAUCAUAUGCUGCUUUGAAGCACCUUUUUCAUUUUUUUUAAAGAUUGUUUAGAAUGAACUUAUAUGCUAUAUACUACACUUACUAUGCUAGGCUGGAGAUGGGGAGCCUGAUUACAUUGGGCGGAUCGUAGAGUUUUUUGAAGGGAGGGAUCACACAUUGUACUUCACAGCACAAUGGUUCUUCAAAGCAGAAGACACAGUAUGUAAAAUUAUGUUCAGAAUAGCUUUUGCCUUUUGCAGAAACUAGAAUGUAAUUAUGGACAGUUUUACUAGUGCUGUGUAUGUUGCAGGUCAUCAAAAGUCAUGCCAGCAUUCAUGAUCCAAAGAGAGUUUUCUUGUCAGAUGAGAAAAAUGAUAAUAUUCUUGAUUGCAUCGUGUCUAAAAUCAGAAUUGUCCGUGUUGCUCCAAAUGUAAGAAUGAAAUUUCGGCCUGUUGUCUGCUUGAUUGGACCCACACUUUUCUCCAUGUGAAUUUUCUUUUGUUUUGCUAAUAUAUCUUGCUUUUCCUUCCCUAGAUUGAUUUGGAUGCAAAAAAGAAAGCAAUUCCAGACUGUGAUCUUUACUAUGAUAUGUCUUAUACGUUGGCAUAUUCAAUGUUCACGAAUUUGCCACCAGGUAAUAAUUGACAAUAUCAUUAUACAGUUGGUUAAGGAAUGUUUUUCCUUCUUCGCUUUAGAGAUGGAUCAGAAUGUUGUGAAUUCUAUAAGGAAAUGCUGAUCCUUGUUUUUACAGAAAAGAAGAGAGCGGGUAGUGAGACGUCAUCAACAAUUUCUUCUGAAGAAGCACCAAAUACUUCAAAAGCAAAAUCACAUUCUGAUUCCGAGGAAGCAUCCUCAGGGGAAAAGAAUGUGAUAGCACUACUGGACCUUUAUUCAGGUUGUGGUGCUAUGUCUACAGGUUUAUGCUUGGGUGCUGCUUUAUCUGGCUUAAAUCUUCAAACAGUGAGUUUAUAGUUGAAAAACUCAAUAAUCAUAAUUAUCUUAAGAACUAUUAUGUCCUUCAAUUUAAAUUUUGCUCUGUUGUCAUUUUUUUUAGCGCUGGGCAGUUGAUAUAAAUAGCCAUGCAUGCGAAAGUCUCAAACUUAAUCAUCCACGAACAGAGGUAUUAUGUCAAAAAAAGAAAAAAUAUCCUGUUUACUAACAUGAAAGUAAGUUGACACUAAUGGUCGUGUUCUGUUUUUAGGUGAGGAACGAGAAAGCAGAAGACUUCCUAGCCCUUCUCAAGGAGUGGGAGAAAUUAUGUAAAAAGUAUAAAGUUGCCGCAUCAGAAAAUGGUGAACAUUGUUGCUUCGACGAUGAUGAGGCGGAUGAUUCUUCUGAAGUCCCUAAGGGUGAAUUCGAAGUUGGAAAGCUUGUCGGUAUAUGCUAUGGUGAUCCCCAUAACAUUGGGAAAGUUGGUUUGAAGUUCAAGGUACCUUCGCUUCACAUUUAGAAGAGAUAAAAAAGACUAUUGAUACAUGAUGAUCGUUAUGGUUCUUUGCUCUUGAACUUCCUUUUAUCAAAUUUAUUGAACAUCAGAAAAGUUUAGAAAUUCUGCUUCAGGAGGAAAUUUUUAGACCCAAAAGUGGGAGCUCCAAUUAGAGCUAUUGCUCCUUUUUUUAUCAGAGAAGCUGCUGAAAAGUUUCUGGAAAGAAGCUAUCAAUUCUUACCCUAACAGCACUACUCAAUUAGCACUCCACUAAAGAAGCCUUUCUAACUAAAUAUUCCAUGAUUCCUAAUUAGGUACGAUGGAAAGGUUACGGACCUAGUGAUGAUACAUGGGAACCUAUGGAGGGAUUAAGGUAGUUUUGACCUUUAUUUGUAUUUGGUUAUACAUUUUUUUUCAUAGUGUCUCCUAUAUGUCACUACUUGCUGUUUUCUUAUAAUUCUUUUUUCCUUUUAUCUUAUUAGCAAAUGUCAAGGGAAGAUUGAAAGCUUUGUGAGAAAUGGGUACAAGAAAAAUAUAUUACCUCUACCUGUAAGUUUAUCUCCCUUUUGUAAUUUUUCUACCUUCAAUUAGUGUUGUAGGAACACUGCUAAUAAAACCAUUAUUUAUCCAUUAUUUGUUAUUUUGCUGAUUCUACUAUUUUAGGGCACUGUUGAUGUCAUCUGUGGUGGGCCACCAUGUCAAGGGAUCAGUGGAUUCAACAGGUUUAGGAAAAAUACAGCUCCACUUGAGGAUGAGAAGAAUCAACAGAUGGUUGUUUUUAUGGAUAUUGUGGAGUAUCUGAAGCCGAGAUAUGUUCUUAUGGAGAAUGUGGUUGACAUAUUGAAGUUCGCAAAAGGGUUUCUUGGAAGAUAUGCAUUAAGCAGAUUUGUGGCGAUGAAUUAUCAAGCUCGGUUAGGCAUGAUGGUUGCAGGGUGUUAUGGUCUUCCACAAUUCCGAAUGCGUGUUUUCCUUUGGGGCGCACUUCCAACAGAGGUUUGUUAGUUGCUAUCUAUGCAACGCCAACACAACUAUUUUGGGAUACUUUGCUGCUAUCAAUAUCAAAUAGUUAAACUUAUUAUAAAUAUACAUCUAGCUUUCCCUUAAGUCGUCUAAUCAUUUUAUGUAAUGUGCAGAUUUUGCCUCAAUUUCCACUACCUACACAUGAUGUUGUUGUUCGGGGAGGCACACCAAACGAGUUUGAGGUAUGCGAAGUAAUACAUUACUUCUUAUCCAUCAAACAUUGGGCUCUGAUGGGUUGAUAUUUUUGUAGCAAAAUAUUGUCGCAUAUGAUGAAACACAAGAUAGGGAUCUGAAGAAAGCACUGCUACUUGCCGAUGCUAUAUCAGAUCUGCCACCGGUAGAUGCAUUUUCCCUCUUGCUUUUCUUUUUCUUCAACUUAUAUCAUACAAACAUUUUUCUCUAUGCUUUCAUAUUAUCAUUACAUCCAUCAUCUGUGUUCUUGUAUUCUUAAUUUAUUCUUUUAUUUUGUAGGUUGAAAAUGAUGAAGAGCAUGAUGAGUUGCCCUAUGCUGGCCCUCCACGAACAGAAUUUCAGCGCUUUAUUCGGCGCAGUCGAGCAGGUAAAAUUAUUUUGUUCUUGACUAGAUUAUUUUUCUAUAUUUUGGGGUUUUGAAUUGCUCUAAAGUUUUCCAUAAGAGUUCAAUGGGUGAUUCUACAGCAUUCACUUAUUUAGGCCAUAGUUGUUUGCUUUGGGUUGUCACUCUUCUAGUACCAAAAGGCAGUUUUUAAUGGAAAAGUAAUUUCCCAUUGGCGAGUAGUUGAAAAAGGAGUUGGUUAUCUCAUCUUCUCUUUAGGAUUUGUUUUAGUUUUCAUUUCAGAGAGAAUAAAGGAACAUGGAGGUUUUCAGUCUUAAUAUUUGCUGCAUACUUCAAUGCCAUUCUUGAAGAUCUUGCCUUGUAGUUAGCAAAAUAUGGAUUCUACCAGUCCCCUACUACUAGGUCUUGCAGUGAAACAUUACAAAGGGAAACCCUUUGAAUCAUUUUGGUAUUUUUUUGGGGCUAAGUAUAAGUAGCUUACUGAUUCAUUCAAACUUUUUCCCUGGGUUUUGGUUCUUCUAUUGCAAGUUUGCUUAAAAGGCUUUAUUUCUACUUUGGGUGGAUGGGCUUCAAAUCUUCUGUGCUUUGGAGACCCCUUUUAGUUAGAUUUGGGUUCUCUUUUGAAGGUUGCAAGUUGAUUAGAGACAAGCAUUUUUGACAGACAGCACAAUGCUUACCAUACAAAUUUCUUGGGCAACUUUCUAGCUUUUGCUAGCAUUAAUUGUGUUCUCAACUGAUUUAUUAUCCUUCUUUAUAUUUGCUCGAGAUGUUGGUUUUGGUAUAACAAGAAAGAUUUCAAUACUGUGAGGCAAAAGUUUUCUAAUUUUUCUAUUUUCCUCUUGAUUUUUGAAUAGAUAUGUUGGAUUUUUCCUUUGAUGAUGAAAGAACUGCCGCGAAGGGUAAAUUGUUCGACCAUAGACCUCUAAAGUUAAACGAUGAUGAUUACGGUCGAGUCUGUCAAAUUCCCAAGAGAAAGGUUCGUUAUCAUUGUGAAAAUCUUAUUGGUUUGGUAGUUUUUUAUACCACUACUUUUAGCCCAGCCAACACUUUUGUAAAAGUGUUGCUUAAUACUAUUUUAAAAUGUGGUGUAUCAUCUUAUAUAUCUGCCUGCGAAGCAGAUAUAGUUAGACUACCACCUUGAAUAGAUCAUAUUCGCAUACGACUAGUCAUAUACCUUAAUUCGUCAAAUUUAAUAUAUAAUUCCUUUUUUUUUAACUAGUGAAAUUUUAUGUUAGAAAUAUUUUAUUGUAAUAAUUUACGUGAAAUAAUUUUCUCAAAAUAAUAAUUUAUAUGAAAUGUGACAUGAUAGUGUCACAAUGUACUGAUAUAUGUAAGCAUGUCUUCAGAUAAUUUCUGUAUGAUUUUUUUUGUUUUCUAUUCUAUAAUUUAUGUUGUUGUAUUUUCUCUAGGAUACAAUGCAUUUGCUUUUCAAAAAAGGCCCUAGCUACGUGUUGCUUUUGGUUCUUAAAAAGCAUUGUUUUGUUGAAUUAGUUGAUCUUUGAAUCCAAUCCCCCCUUGAUAGUAUAAGUAGACUGGUUUCUUUCGGCUGUACAGUGUAUUGUUAUUAGAUGAAACUAACAAGUUUUCAUCAAAUUCCCCUAACAAUUUUCUAGGGUAGAACCAGAACCUACAACUUGAAAUUCUUUUAGUUUAGAGUUGAUUUUAUCUUUCACUACAGUAGAAGUUCGAAACUUUCCUAACUACUAAACAUUCUCAUAAAAGGUGCACGAAAUUAGAGCUUGAAAAUGAGCGAAAGUUCAUUUAAAAUUUUUUCUUAUCUUAAAUGUGUUUUGAUAUUUUUCUUUGUCAAAUUCUUACUUGAGUGCUCAUUUUUUGAAACAAAAAAUCUGCUCUAGACGCCAUUGCUAACACUCACUUAUGCAGCAUUCCUAGAAUUUUCUUAUGUUUCUGCUCUUUCCUGUUGUAGGGUGCCAACUUCCGUGACCUCCCGGGAGUUAAGGUUGGUCCUGACAAUGUUGUGGAGUGGGACCCUGAAGUUGAACGGGUACUACUGCCCUCAGGAAAACCUCUGGUAAUAUAUACUGUGUUUUUAAGUUUUCCUUGUUCCCUUUAAAAACAUGAUCCUACUCUUGCUUGAUUUGACUACUUCCACCAACUCUUUUUGCCACUGUAUUCACUGACAUUUCCCAUCCCACAUGUGAUGAGAUGGAAAGAUUCUUUGGCAGCAAGUUGUGGAAUUUUCUGAAAAAAAAAAGGAUAGGUUUGACAAGUCUCAAAUUUUUUAAAAAAAACACAAAAACAGUAAAUUUUAUGUGCAAAAUCUCUGAUUUUUAGCCAUCCUUGUUAUAUGUAUUUAGAUACACAAAUAAGUAAGUCCUGUUGGAAUGUAUAAAUAUUUUGUUUAUAUAUAUAUAUUUUUAAAACUAUGUAAAAGAAUUUAUAAUAUUGUAUAGAUAAGAAGUGGGAUCAAAUGUGCUGAAUGAUAUAUUAUAUUCAACUUUUUAAAUUAUUUUUACACAUUAAGAAUUAUCUUUUCAGUAAUGAAAUUUGCUAUUUAAUCAAAUUACUAAUAUAUUAAAAUCUUUUAAAAAGUGAAAAAUUAAACUCCUAAUUCUGAGUCAGAUGGUUUUUGGGGGUGGUCACAGGGUUAGCAGUUCAGGGGAAGCAUCAAGAACUAAAAAAAAAGUACAAAAAAAUAAUUUAUAUUCUUUUUGGCCACAGGUACCGGACUAUGCUAUGUCAUUCAUUAAGGGGAAAUCUCCAAAGUACGGUUAUUCAUUCCAUUUCCGAAUUUUUCUUGUUUUUUCCCCAUAAAAAAUAAUGCUUUUAUAACAAUUUAUCUUUUCUUUUCUUUUUUUCUUUUUUUUUUGGAAACCAUUUGUUGCAGGCCUUUUGGGCGCUUGUGGUGGGACGAAACUGUGCCUACGGUUGUGACUCGAGCUGAACCCCACAAUCAGGUACGAUACUAAAAUAAUAUAUAAAUAUUGAUAUUGAAGGUAAAAUAUAUACUAUUAAUAGGAGAGUAAUAGUGUUUGCAAUUUAAUUUUCAACCCCUAGAAUCUCUGAGUUUAAUGGGGCUUAUAUAGAGAAUCCAAUUAUUAUUCUUUUAGGAGGACGAAAGCAUUUAGUUUUUAGACGUUAUAAACACUUUAAAUCAGCUUUUACUGUUUCGAUUAUCGAUUUGAAAUUUUUAUUAUCUAAAAUGACUUAAAAGAAUAAAAGCCUUCGUUCUUCUAAAAAGGAUAGUAACUGGACUUCUUAUNUUUUUUUUUUUUUUUUUUUGUGUUAUGUGAAAAGAAACUUUUUGUUUUUGGUGUUGCUAUGCGAUUGAAAAUGUGGACAGAUCAUUUUGCAUCCGGAGCAAGAUAGAGUUCUAACAAUCAGGGAGAACGCAAGGCUCCAAGGUUUUCCAGAUUACUACAAGCUUUGUGGCCCUAUUAAACAGAGGUAUUAUUAUUGGAUUUUGUUUUUUGUUUUUCGUUUUUUUUUUUGUUAGUUUCAUUCUAGUUCAUUGCAUUUUCUCAUGCUUGAAAUGCUAUAAUCACCAGGUUUUAACUUAUUUCACUUGUAGCCUGUUUGGGCUGUCUCAAACUUCUCUAUGAAACUGCCAUUUGACAUUACUUUGAAGUCCGUAAUUUUAUUUCUACUUCUCAUUGCAAUAAAAGUUUUAGAUAUUCAAUAACUUGAAUUCCCAGCUAUUGUUUCUCGAUUCAUAGUACUCUUUAGGAAGCUAUACUGGGUCAUCAAUUCAAAUGCUCCAUCAUCAUAAUAAUGGAACAAUAAACGAUUAUACCUAAUCUUGGAUCUCUUCCUGAGUCUUAUGUGUUAUGUUCAAAGAACUCUAUUUAUUUUCUAUAUCAGGUAUAUACAAGUCGGAAAUGCUGUCGCAGUCCCCGUCGCGAGGGCUCUAGGAUACGCACUAGGGCUAGCCUUCCAGGGCAGAGUCCACGACGACAAACCGCUCUUCACGCUUCCGAAGAGUUUCACUUCUUUUGGCCAAGCGACUUCAACAUCCGCCAGUACGAAAGCAGUCGGCGAAAUUGUGGAAUGAGUUCGUGCCCGUUUCGAUUCUUCAUUAUUGCCAAGUGUAUUCGAUUUCACGACAUCAUUGAGUGACAUGCCAGUGUGUUGUAUUGAUCACUCAGAACAUAGCAGUCAUUUACGCGCAGUCUCGAAGAACAACAUAUUUAUCUUUACCCCGCGUCAUUUAUCAUCAUUUAUCAAUGAGAAAUUUCGUGUAACUUAGAUUGUUACUUAAAUUAGUUAUAAUUUUAAUCUACAUUAUUACAUGAGCGAAAUAUAUCGCAUGUUUUUGCCUUUGGUUUUGAAAAAUUUUGCUCUUAUUUUCGCUUCUGUUUUUGUCUACUAUUCAUGCAUUAUUAUAGUGAGAAAUUGAAACAAUUUCUUGAGCCUCAAAAUUUGCCUAAAAGGUGAACCUAUGAUCUCUUUUCAGCCACUCUUUUCCUUUUCCACCUAUGGUACUGCGAUUGUUCCAUUUUAUUUUUUAGAAAAAACUUUUUAUUAUUGUGGUUCCGCACUUUCUUAUUUUAAAAUCUUGUGAUUUAAAUUAUAUUAUUUUAAUAUUUUGUGGUUUUAUUUUAUUCUUUUUAUUAUUCACUCUGUUAAUUUUUACUAAAUCAAAUACAAGGUACUCAAAUAAAAUUUUAUAAAUUAUAAGAUAUUAAAGUGAAUAUUUGAACAAUUAUAAGGGUGCGUUUGGUUCGCGUUAUUUUUUUAAGAUUCCUAAUAAUCCAAUAGGAAUAAAAAAAUAUGACGGUAUUUAGCUAAACAUACUAAGUAAUCUAGUUUAUAAUACUGAAUUUACUUGGAAAUGAUACGCAUUCCAAAAUACUAAUCUUAUUUUUUUGAGAGGAUGGAUAUUUUUAUAUUAAUGAAUUUGAAUAAAAAGAUAUUUGAGAAUCUUAUUCCUAUUCAUCUUAUUACUAAGUAAUCUAGCUGAGUAAUUAUACGCUCUAAGUGAAUGAAUUGUGCCCUUUCUAUCAGCUCCAGCUGUUGAAAUACAGUUAAUGUCUUUAAUCUUAAGCGAUAUCAAUGCUGGUAGCAGAUUCGAUUUUCGCGUGCUGUUGUAAGUGUUGAGGAGAAGAGGGGUUGUUGGCUUAAAUAAGCCGACAUCCUACCUUGUUAUGGAAACCAGAUUAAAUCGCAUCACAAUCGAAAUCUGUGAAUGCUAUCUAUAUGUACAUAUUAUUGGAUAAGUUGUGCCUUUUCUAUUAGUUCGAGCUUUUAGAAUUAGUAGUGGUUAGCGCCUUUGAUCCAUCGAUUCUGAAAAUCACAAUAGGCAAUUUCAGGUCCAUUAAGGGCUUAAAUGCUAAUCUUCUCAUUAGUAUCAAAUGCAUCUGGUACUAAUCUUCUCCCUUGCAUAUUUGAUACUACCCUCAAUAUUUGACAUUAUUUCAUUUGCAAUUCGCCGCCUCAUUAGCGAAAAUGAUGCUAGAUUUAAUUUAAUUAAUCAAGUUAAUUGAAAAUUAGCAGAAUGAUCGCUGAUUAAGGACCUGCUUGGUAUCGAGAGUCACCUAAGAUGGUUGGACCAAAAAAGUUGGAGCGCAAACGUACAUAGAUAUGCUUCUAUGUUUUCUUAUAAAACCUCAAAAAUUACAUCUUAAAAGUUAAUACAAUAACAUACUAAAUAUUUUUUUAUCUCAUUUUCUGACCCGCGCAACUUGCUCUAAAUAGCUUCUUCUCUUCAUUUCACUACAAGUGAGAAGUUGGAAUAAGUUUUUUCCUUAUAAAAUUCUGCUUUAAUUGAAAGAUAUUAACCGUGCUUUUUCAAACAGCUGUACUAAAAUAAUUUUUCAAAAAAAGCUUCUAUCGAGCUAAUAAAAACCUAAAUUGUUGAUGUGGAACAAUUUGAGAGAGCACAUUAUCGAAAGCGAUUUAAACAUGCAAAUUCUUCAAUAGUUCAUUAGCAAUCACCAUCAAGUAGAAAAAUAUUCAAGCUUCAAGUAGAAUCUAUUACCCAUCGAAAACAAGUUAGUGCAAAAGCACUUAUCAUUUUUUAUUUGUCAAAUAUCUAACUAAUAUAAAUUUUUUUAAAAAAAACAUAUGUUAAAAAAGAAGCCAAAAGGCACAUUUGUGCUCUCAAAUUAUAAUCCUCAUUUUUGAAUUAUAUUUAGAUUUUUUGUAUUGGAGUUUAUAGGCUACUAUUAUAUUACUAAAGUAACCAUUUAUUCCUUUGAGAACAUACUAUUUGUUGAUGGCCCCACUUUUGAUGUCAAAUCAAAAAUCAACUAGUGAUCAAAUAAAAAUAAAACAUCUUAAUAUGUUAUUUUGUAUUGUUUGAAAACAAAAGGUGUUAGAAUUUGUCUGGUGUAAACCAAACUUUGAGCUAAAUUUGAUGUUGAAAUUCAAAUUUGUGUUAAAUUACAUCAAAAAUUUUGUGACAACCUAUGUUAUUUCGUCACUCUAAUUUAGUACUUUAUAAGGAAAAGAGUUUGUAAAUUAUUUUGUGUAUACGACGGAUCUGUUUACGUGCCUGACUAAACAUUCAGAUCGAUGAGGCAAAAGAUUUAAGUUGCUCAUACAAAUCAAAGAAAGGAUUUUCUAUAGCAAAAUUAUAUGAAAGUCUGCAGAUUUGAGAGCUCUACUCUAAUAUUUUCCCGACCAACAAAACAAAGAGGAUCGAGAUCGAGAUCGAGAGUGAGGCGGCGAUCAAAUGCCGGUGGACCCGAACCCGCCGACGCCCCUCUCGGUGGGGUCGAGAUCGUCGACCUCCGCGACCUCUGGCGUCUCGAUCCUCUCCAAGAUCAUCUGCGCGAUCCGGUCCCCGCGCUUCACUGCGAAGUCGACGUCGGAGAAGUUGAAGAGGACGAUCCCGACCGGCCCACGGUAGUCGGCGUCGAUCACUCCCGCGCCGACGUCGAUCGAGUGCUUCCACGCCAGCCCCGAUCUCGGCGCUGCAAACCUCAUAGUAUCAGCAGGACCAGGUUUCUUCAACCCCAGAUUUUGGUUCUAGUCUCAAUGAGUUCAAAUUGUAACAAAUUCAAUUGGAUUUGAUUUGAUUCAAUUUCAUCCUCAAAGUUGUGUUAUUUUUUCUUUAACAAUUUAAACCCUAAACUCUUAUCAUGAUCUUAGUUCAUUCUCGCAGUUUCAUUCUUAAAAAAAAUAAUAAUAAUAAUAAAAUAUUCAAAUAUCAUUCCUGUAAUUUUGCAUUUUUUUAUUUUAAUACCCUAUAAUUUAAAAUAUAUCAAUUUAGCACCCUAUGAUUUCAUUUUUUUCUUUUUAUUAUCCACUCUAUUAAUUUUUUUUGUUAAAUCACUAAUAAAAUUAAAACUAAAAAAUACUAAAAUGAAUAUUCAAUUAAUCUAGAUGAGGUAUCUGAAGAGCUAACGAAAAGAAAAAAAAAAUAAAACCACAUGGUACUAAAAUGAUAUACUUUAAACCACAAAAUGCGAAAAUAAGAAGUGCGAAACUACAUAAAUGGUAUUUAAAGUAUAUCCUUUUUUUACAAUAUCAAAUCUAAAUUAGUAAAAGAUCUUGAUUAUUAGACAGAACAAACUUCAGUAACUAAAUUUUCAAAAUUGAAGCUCGGUCCCUAGUCCCUAGCUUUACCCAUUUUUUCACUUUCGUCCUUAUAAAUCUGUAUAUUUUGUUUCAAUUAGGACAAAAGCUCAAAUAAAAUCACACUAGCUCAAAGAGGCAUCGAUAAUAAUCUGAUAACUCAUCGUCAAUUUUGAUACCGAUUUUUAUGGUCAUAAAUAUGAAGAACGAUGCUGAGGAUGGUGAAAUUAAGUUUCACUAGAUAUACGCAUAUAUGAGAGAAGAGGUUAGGAACCAAAAUGUAAAAAUAGAUAAAGUUUAGGGACCAAUAAUGCAAUUAACUCUAAAUUUAAAAAUCUAAUGUGGGGGACCAAAAUGAGAAACAGGUAAAGAUUGGGGACUAGUGGUGCAGUUAACUCUAUUCAGAGGACAAAUCUAUAAAAUAACACAAAAUUAAAACUACAGGAACAAAAUUAAAAGCCAAGCUCAAGCAUGAUACGUACAAGUAACCCAGAAUUAAACUAAAUUGGCUCAAGCAUUUCAUCGAACAGGUAGAGUGCAAGGAGAGGAGAGGAGAAGCGCUCACCGAUGCGAGCGUAGGUUCCUUCGGGGACGGCGACGCCGAGGUCGGUGGCGACGAGGGCUUUGCCGCGAGCGGGGACUUUGGUAUCCACCGCACUGCGGCGCGGCACGAACCAAAAAAAUAAGAGAGAUUUUUAUGCACAGCAAAGACGAAAAGUGGCUCCUUUGCACUCUUCUUCGUCGAAUUGUUGCUAAAAUUUUGGGGCUAAUGGUAAUACCUGGAGAGAUCGUACCCGGCGGAGCGGGGCGAGGCGCGGGAGGGGAUCACGGCGUUCUCGGAGAGCCUCUUGAUGCGGAGGAGGAGGAGGAGGGGGGCGCGGUGGUGGGCGGGGGAGGCGACGCCGCCAUUGUCGAGCUUUUGGCGCUUCGGAGAGGGCUCUUCGACGCCGACGCGUUCGGCUUCGUCUCCUACCACGAUCGCCAUGUUUCUAGGGUUUGUGUGUGGGGGUGGAGGAGAGAAGGAUUGGAAGGGAAGAAGCUGGAAAAUUUGCCAAAAAUCAAAGAAACAAUGUAUAUAUAGGGAAAAUGGAAAAGAAGGGUCUUUGAUUGAUUUUAUAUGCGUUGGGAAGGGAAAUUUUGUGCGAACGUUGGCGGGAAAUGGCUUUUCCCGCCAUUUGAAGGGUAAUGGCGCGAAAAUCGUUGCAAUCCCCUGGCUCGAGUUUUAAAGCACGAUGACACCACCACCCUUUGGAGCAGUAAAAAUUCUAUAAUGCACUCGUUAUACCGAUGAUGUGACUUUUUCAACCAAUUAAAUAAAUUUUGUAGAUUAACACAUCGCAUCAUAAAUAUUAGAAUAUAUUUUUAUUAUAUUUUUUAAAAUAUAAAUAAAUAAAUUUAUUAUUAUUAUUAAUAUGAUGCAAGUGUGAUACAGUAGUAAACCUCCUCCUGAAGUAAGAAGGAUAUGAAUAAGAUAGUGUACAAUUUAUUUUCGUAUCUAUAUUUUUAUGAUAGGUUCGAAUUUGAAUAUCGAUUGUAUAUUAAAAUUCGAAUUCAUGUGUAGAGAUAAAAAAAAUCGGAUAACAUAAAUAUUUAACUUAUAAUAUAAAAUUUAAGAAGCAAAGGGCAUUCGUCGGUAUAUUUUUAAUUUUUUUUAAAAAUAUCUAAGAAUUUUAAAAAUAAUGCCAAAUAUGAACUCAAAGGAAUGUUACUUAUUAGUUAUUCGAGCUUUGGAUUUGAAAAAUCCAAAUCCAAAGAAGAAUAUUGAAUCUAAAUCCAAAUCCGAGUCCCAAAAAAUAAAAAUUUCUCAUUCGAAAUCCAAAUUUGAAUUCGAGUCAAAUAGUAAAAUCUCAAUCCAUACUAGGUAAUUUUCAGAUACGGAUCGGAUUAGAUAAUAUCUUGUCACUUUCAUCUAGGAAUGUCAACAGGUCGGGUUUGGAUCAGAUUUUCAAAAAUCCGAACCGGAAAACCAAAUUAAAACUCGAAUCCGGACCUGAACCCGACGGGUUUUAAAAAUCCAUACUCAUAUCCAACUUGACCAAAAACUCGAAACCUGAAGCUGGACCCGAACCCGACGGAUUUUAAAAAUUCAUACCAUUGGAUAAAAUAAGCGCUUAUUUCUCUCCUUAUACCCAAAUGCUAUUUUUGGAGUUCGAAAAUUAUAGUUCUUCAAGAUUAGGAAUAGGGGAAUAAGAGUGGAACAGUUCCACCCUCCCUCUGAAACAAGCUUGUUCUCUUGUGAGAAUAAACUUAGUUAAAGUUUAAAUCUAAUUUUAAUUAUUGUAUUAAUUUAUUAAUUAAUCUAAUUAAUAUAUUUAAGUCAUUACCUAUUGUUUAAAUAGUUAAGUAAUUAAUUAAUUUAUUAUUUAUGGUUAAUUAGCUCAUUAAGAAUUAAUUAUUUAAUAUGUUUAUCUAGUAACUAAUAUUUAUAUUAGUCAACUAAUUAAAUUAAUUUCCUAACAAAUCACCUAACUAAUUAAAUACUUUACUAACUAUUAUAAAAGUUAAGUUAUUUUUUAUGAUUAAUUAAAUAAUUAAUUAAUAUUUUUUAAUUAUUUUAUACAAUAUUUAUAAUUUUUUAAUUAAUAUUUUGAUAUUAAUUAAUUAAUUGGAUAAAAUAUAGUUCUUAUUAUUUCUGCUAUUCCAAUCUAACUAUCCGAAGACUAUUUAUUUUAUUCUCAGAAAUAAUCCAAAUUUUCUUUUUUUUUAUGAAAUAUGAAAAAAAAGAUUUCAAAAAAUGCUUAUAUUCUUUUAAACCAAACAAACAAAAAAUUGGAAAAGCGUNUAUUUUAUUCUCAGAAAUAAUCCAAAUUUUCAUUUAAGCAAAAUUUAUUAUAACUAAUCACACUUAUAUACAUGAAUUUGUAUAUAUUUCUAAAGUAAACAGUUCUUACUUAUAUUCGAACCAAACUAAGCCUCCGUCAAAAUUUUAAAGGGCGAUAUUGUUUGGGGUGAAGUCAACUUCUAUCAUUUUUCCAUAAAACUAGCUUUACAGUCUAUUUCAACACCAAAACAAAAAGUGGAGUUACUCUGUAAUGCAUCAAAACAAACAAAAAAUUGGAAACUCUAGUUUCACGAACUGCGAUGCAAAUAAGUAAAUUAAGUUCAUGCAAAAUUUAUAAUUUUCAAUUACCAAAUAAAAUAUCUAGUGUAGGAUAUUUGGAGAUCGUUUCACCCUAAACUCGACAAUUUCGUAUCUGAACCGACAUCAAUCUUCAAGUUUGAAUUACAGGAUUGGUGCAAGAACACAAGAUAUUUGGUUCAAAAUUUGGAAGCUUAAGGAAGUCAUGCCGAGAGUUAAACUAUUUAGUUGGUGUGCUGCUGUGAAUGCUAGCUCUUCCGUUGGGUACCAAGCUUGCCGAACGUAUACCUCAUUUCGGAGACUCUUGACAGUUGUGCCAAAAGCAAUAUGAGACGAGGGACCAUUGUUCUUUAAUUGUCCAUUAAUUCGUUGGAAAUUCGGUACUUAUGCUGGUAUCAGAUUUUGAGAAUCCGCAACCCGCUCCGAUACCGACCGUUGUUGAUCCGGUGUCAAAUGUUAGAAUUUUGCAACGAAAACGUCAAAUCAGAUUUUUACUAUAAACCCGUCUCCUCAGCAAAAACUGAUACAAUCAUAAAAGAGAUAAAAUAAAAAAUAUAUAUAUACGGGUAAAAUAAGAUUCAUUAAAUAAGAGAAUAUUAUACCUAACUCCUCUUCUGCAAUAGAGUAGUUACAACUCGAGCCUUUUUUUUGAAUCUCUCCUACCCUUUUCCAGUUUUCUAUAAACUCACAAGAAGAUAACUCUCUCUUUUUCUCUCUCACAUGCACCCGUGCACUAGGUGCAUGCAACCGAACCUAGGCUUCUCCACCGUAUGGUCACCACCGUAAAAAGGUCUCUCUUAUCUGUACACCAUCUAGGCACACGGUCACCACCAUAAAAAGCUCUCUAUCAUCUGUACACCAUCUAGGCAUAUUCACUGAUUUGCAUACAUGGAGCUAUGUAUAAGGCUCCACCCAAGACAUACCCAAAUCUAAGGAUAAUUAAGAUUUCUACUCUAAAUAAUAUUUAAAUCUACAUUUAGUUUAUCUCCAAUAAAUUUAAAUAUUAAUUCUUAUUCAACUAGAAAAUCAACUAUAAAUGUAAUAAAAUCCUAACAUAAUUUAGCGAGCGUGGUUUGCCUUGCAAGUUGGUUUGCGUGCACAGAGUCUUCGUUGACAUUCGUAGAGUGGUUGGAUACAUUCAUUAAUAAUGAACGAUUUUACAAGGUUCAGACGUACUGUAUACAUGUGUUGUGGUCAAUUUGGAAGGCACGCAAUGAUUAUACUGGGUAUAACCCGGAAAGGUGGGAACAAUAGCUCCCACCUUCCCAAUAUUUUGUUUGGGUAUAAAGCGGGGAUAUCCCUCUUAUCCCCCCUUUUGUAGUGUUUGAAUUGGGUACAAGAGGGGGGAUAAGGGGGUUAUCCCCCCUCUUGUACCCAAACACCAACAAAUGGAUGGGUGGGAACAAGUUGUUCCCACCCCCCCUUCCCGGGUAGAGAGAGAGAGAGAGAGAGAGAGAGAGAGAUUUAUUUUAAAUUUAAAUUUGAUAUUUUAUAUCUUUCAAAUUUAAAUUUGAUCUUAAAUUUAAAAUUUAAAGUUUAAAUAUUAAAUUUAAAAUUUUUAACUUUUAAAAUUUUAAUUUUAAAAAUUUUAAUUUUAAAUAUCAAAUUUUAAAUUUAAAUAUAAUAAGAGGGGUAAUAUUAUUAUUUUCUAUUUAUAGCCAUCAACUAUUUCUCUUAUUUCUAAUAACUAUCCAAACACAAUUUUUCUAAUUCCAACUUAUACUCACAUUUUCAUCCAAACAAAAAAAUAUCCUUAUUCUUACAAAAAUCCAUACUUGUACCUAUCCCCGGUAUAACUAGUUCCUACUAAUUUUCGAACCAAACGAAACCGUAACGAGUGCGAGAAUAUGG
rnacentral:lncRNA from 1 species